rnacentral:lncRNA from 1 species
AGCUUAGCCGCCUUGAGCUGUGCGGUGAGAAGCUGAGUGGGCAGAGCCGACAGGGUUUCAGGGGUUAGCGUGGCGGCAGUGAAGCGCAGCCGCAUCACCCUGCGCAGCUCGCUGACCACCUCCCGAACCACAUGCUCCGACGUCUGCUUAGCAGGCUCGCGGGACCAGUACGCACACCAGACGGCGUACAAGAAGGUGGCCCGCAAAGUGCUCCACAGCAGCGCGCCCGCCCCCCGCGGGCCUGAGGCCCACAUACCCAUGCGGUCCCCCAGCAUGAAGCCCGCGUCCGUCACUGGCGGCGCCGCUGCCUGGGGCGCAACGCAGGCCCACAGCUGCUGCAGCCACGUCCUCGCCUGCGCUUAAGCUGGACACUCCAGGAAGAUGUGCGUCAGGCUGGCCCACGCCCGCGGGCCAGGAGGCCCGCAGGCGGGGUGAGGACAGUGCGCCCCCAACCCCCCGCACCCCAUGGUCACCCGUGGACGAAUGCCCUUGCCCGCCCUGUACAGCCCGCAAGGCAGGUAAGCAUGUUGCAGCCGGUACACAAGUACCUUGGCCCCCCGACUGGCGUGGCUGUCCCACAGCCUCCGCCACGUACCCCGCAGAAGGGACGCAUCCGGGGGCGGCAUGCGAGGGUCGCCCUCCACCGCCGCCGCUGCUGCCGCCGCCGCCGUGGCAGGCCCCGUGCUAGGCCCCGCCCCGCCCGCCGCCUGCUCCUGCAGCCGCGCGGACCGCCGCGGCCCCUCACCUGACUGCUGGGACAGGGACGCAUACGACUGCAGUUCUCUCGCCGGCGUGUUCUGCAGCCCGGCUGCCGCAGAGGUGCGGUGGAGCCAGGGGUCCAGAGCCACCGGGUUAUUGUGGAAAUGUUGCGCCGCCGUGGUGGUCAGCUGCGCCGCUGCACGCUGCCACUCCGCCUCCCGCUCCACCAGCCGCGACUGUGCCGCCGGCUGUGUCCCCGAACCCCCCGCCUGCUGUGCUGGCGCUGGGCACGGCAUGGCUGCAGGGCGUGCCGGAGCCGGAGGUGCGGCCGGGUUAGCCGCGGUGAUGGCCCGCCGCACGUCCCGCACCGUGUAGUCCGCCAAGCUGACACCCGCAAUCCGGCAGUGCUCCGGGUGCACCACCACCCCAGCCUCCGGCGCCAGGAAGUACGGCGCCCGAGGCCACGCCCCCGCCCGGUCCCCUGGUGAUGCUGCAUCGUACGCCGCCCGCUCUUCAAAGGUGCUGCUGCCGCCGCCGCCGCCCGCUCUUCAAAGGUGCUGCUGCCGCCGCCGCCGUGGCAGGCCCUGUGCUAGGCCCCGCCCCGCCCGCCGCCUGCUCCUGCAGCCGCGCGGACCGCCGCGGCCCCUCACCUGACUGCUGGGACGGGGACGCAUACGACUGCAGUUCUCUCGCCGGCGUGUUCUGCAGCCCGGCUGCCGCAGAGGUGCGGUGGAGCCAGGGGUCCAGAGCCACCGGGUUAUUGUGGAAAUGCUGCGCCGCCGUGGUGGUCAGCUGCGCCGCUGCACGCUGCCACUCCGCCUCCCGCUCCACCAGCCGCGACUGUGCCGCCGGCUGUGUCCCUGAACCCCCCGCCUGCUGUGCUGGCGCUGGGCACGGCAUGGCUGCAGGGCGUGCCGGAGCUGGAGGUGCGGCCGGGUUAGCCGCGGUGAUGGCCCGCCGCACGUCCCGCACCGUGUAGUCCGCCAAGCUGACACCCGCAAUCCGGCAGUGCUCCGGUUGCACCACCACCCCAGCCUCCGGCGCCAGGAAGUACGGCGCCCGAGGCCACGCCCCCGCCCGUUCCCCUGGUGAUGCUGCAUCGUACGCCGCCCGCUCUGCAAAGGUUCACAGGUGCCGCGGCUUGCGGUGCUGCAGCACACAGGCAGGCUGCCAUGCCCCAUCCACCGCCGGGGGCAGCACGCCAGGCCCAGGCUCCAAGAGCCGCCCCGUGUAAUGGACGUAGGACACAGCCCCCGCAGCGUUAGCCACCCACAGCUGGUCCAGGCUAACCCGCCACUGUGGCGGCGCCGCUGGCGGCUGAGUGGCUGGCUGCGGCGGAUGCUGUUCCACACCCGCGCUCCGCACGUGGCCGACCGCGGCCGCCAGCCGGGCAGGCAGCCCCGCUGGCGCCGGCGCGUCGCUGUACACCCACGCCCACGUGGUGGCGGAGUCCGGGCGCACAUGGGUAAGCAGCGCCCGGGUGAGCAUCUUCCAGGGUUGCUGGCCUGGCUGGGCAAGGAGGGCGAAAGUCUUAGCUUGCAGGGCAGACAGGAAUGCAGGCAGGUCGACGUGGUUGACACCCCCGUCCUUGUACGGCAGACAUGCCGUUUCCCACUUUGGCAGCAGGAGCGGGUUCCCAUGCGACACCAGGCUGGCGUCCUCAGCGUGCAUGGAGCGCGCAGCAAAGUGGUCCACCAGGUCGGUGAGUUCCUUCAGCUGCGCAGGCGACGGCCAACGAGAGUCAGAGACAGGGCAGCCCACAGACGCGCCACAAACGCCAUGCCGCGAGCCCGCCGGGUGUACAAGUCAGCUGCAGCCGCAUCCGAGUCCCAUGACAGGGGCACACCCAGGUGCGUCACGGCGCCCGUGGUAAACGGCACCCCCGUGUGUGGGCAAGGGCCCGUCAGGUGCGCAAACCUGCCAAGGCCCAUGGCCUUGCUCUUGUCCGGAUGGACACGGGCAUUGGACGCGCGGCAGAACAGCUGUACUGCCGCCAUCAGGACCGGCCCGUCCACCGCCGGGUCGCGCGCCGUGAGGGUCGUGUCGUCAGCGUGGUGGGCAGCAGGUGGUGCCUGCUCGCCGCUGGGUAACAGGGGCGUGCGCAGUGCCCCUUGCUCCACCUGCCGCCGCAGAAAGGACGUCAGUGGCUGCAUCUGGAUGACCCACUAGGUGGUGAGGCGGUGCUGCCCUGCGGCAAGCCGUUCAGCACUGGGAAGGCGUCAGAGAGCAUCCCGUUCACACACACGCGGGCAGAGCCGUUGGCAGUGAUCAGGCGGAUCCAGCGCAGCAUGCGCGGCCCAAACCCCAGUCCCUCCGCGGACGCAUACAGCCACUGCCGGUGCACCCGGUCAUACGCCUUUUCAAUGUCCAAGAAGUACAGCGCACCACCCUGCCGUGGCGUGCCGUCCGCGCCCACGUCCAGGCGCAUCCAUUCGAUCAGGCCUUGGAGGUACAGCGCGUUGUCUCCAAUCCAGCGGCCGGUGAUGAACGCAGUCUGCAGCUCAUCCACAACUGCAUCCAGGGCGGGCUGCAGGCGGGCGCUGACGGCCUUGGACACCAUGCAGGAGGCGGCGGGUGUGGGUGACGCAGCGGCUGCCACUGGUGGCGCCCGCGGACCACCCGCCGUGGCCUCGCCCUCGCUGCCAGCUCUGGUGGCGGGGGGAAGCACCCGUGCUGCUGCGGCUCCCCUGAGGGCCGAGCGACAGCAGCAGCCCUCUUCACAGCAGCGGGUGGCAGCGGGAGGGCUUAGCGGGGGGCAGCCGUCGGCAGGCGUUGGGGGGCCGCCGGCGGCCAGGCGUCGCACUGCCGGUGCUGGGUCGGCUGGCGCGCAGCAGCAGCCCAGUGGGGCUCCCGCGUCACAGCCGCCCUUUGAUCAACUUUACUUUACUUUACUUUACAUUACUUUACUCUCUUCUCUUGCUAUUCUUGCAUCCUCUCUUCCUUCUGCACAGCUUUGAAACAGUUGACGUCAUUUCUCUCGCGCUGUUUGACUUGCUUCCUUUUGUUUUAGGCUUCUUAAGGCCUACGAACCACUGUGAAGCAGUUUGCAUUUGUGGGCGUCCUCGUUUUUCGUCAGUCCACUUUGCAGCUGUAGCGCGACACUCCCUCUCCAGCGCCCUUCAGCCUAUGCCGGCUUGUGCUUUGGAACUCGACACUGCUAUGGAAUAGGAUUCUGGCGGUUCAGGAGCGUCGCCGUGGAGUUGGCGACAUUUCGCUUGUCGGCAUUUUAACAUCUCGGCGAGCACCACACUUCACCAGCUUGGAGCCGGCGGCGUAUCAACCUUUGUGGUUGGUCAUUUGCAUCCGCGCGUGCAGCAGGGUGCUUUGGGUGUGGCGGUCGGGGGAGCCCUGCAGCACUUGGCUGUUGUUUUGGGGUGUGGCUCGUCUUCGUGCCCUUGUUGCCUGGUGCCUGGUUGCCUGGCGCCCGCCCUGCUGUGAUGCCCUGUGAGUGCUGAUCCUGGGUAGCUAUGCAGUUGCUGGGUGAUCCUGGUCGGUUCCGCCUGGUGUCUCAGCGCAGCCAAGACACCAGGGGCCAACGCCAGCCAUACAGCACACCCGCACACGGCGCGGCCACAGCAGCACAUGCCGUGCCGUGUGGGGGGCCUGCAUUUGGGCAUCGCCGCCCACUGCCAGACUUGGCAGCGGACAGCACCCCUGCAGGUGGGGGCAACACUGCCAGCCCGUUCUUCAGCCCCGGGCUGCAGCUCCACCUUGCCCUGUCUACGCAUAGCCUGGCGGACGGCGUGCAGGACCUGACGACUCAGCCCCAGGGCCCCAGCCUGCCUACCUACCCAGUCCUUCUGGUGGGUGCCACCACGGGGCUCCCAGAGGGCGAGCAGCUGUCCUCAGCCGGCGUCCGGGAAGUGACCAGUGCUGCCCUGUCAGUGCUGGACACCAUGUGCCGGCAGGGCAACCAGCCGCAGCUCUUGCAGGGCCACUCUCUGCACAGCACAGGCCGCCCCUCCCGCACGUUUGCGGGGCUGGCCUUCAGCCGGCGCGCGACCAGCGCCAGCAAAGCAGCCUUCACAGCGGAGCUCAUGCGCAAGUCGCCGCUGGCGGUACCGCUCCAGCGCGGUCAGGCUGUCCUCACGGUUCACGUGCCAGUGGACACCCGGCCCAUCAUUCCGGGCACCUACACCGUCACGGUCAAGAUGGUAGGGGGCCCUGUGUGGGGGGCUUUCCGCGGUCGCACUGAUUUGGUGCUGCAGGCGGGUGGCUAUCCCACCACCUCGGACCCCUCGAACCUGGCGUGUGCUUAUGUGGUCUCAGAGCAGUGCGCCAAAUCGGUGGGCCCCAAGGGGGAGCCCCAGGCCCCCGCAGGCCAGGGCAUCACCAACCACAUCUUUGCCUGUGUACGGGGCCCAGUCUGGGACCCGCAGCUCUCUCACCUGCAUUGUGCCAAGUUUGAGAUGCCAGGUGAGGAGCCCAUGCAGGUGGAGGUCCGUGGCGCCCCCCAGGCGGCUGGGACGGCCACGACAGCUGCGGCAGGCAGCCUUGCUCAGGCUGCAGCCGGGGUCGCCGACCUGGGUGGCAACACCUUGGGUGUGGUGAGGCCCGCGGCUGCCAUGGCGACCGCAGCGGACAUCGUUGACCACGUGGGGGACGUGCAGAUGCAGGAGGCGGCGGGUUUGGGUGACGCGGCGGCUGCAGCUGCUGGCGCCAGCGGGCCACACAGCAGGGCCCCGCCCCCGCUGCCAGUUCUGGUGGCGGGGGGAAGCAACCGUGCUGCUGCGGCUGCCCUGCGGGCCGCACUGCAGCAGCAGCCCUCUUCGCAGCAGCGGGUGACCGCGGGAGGGCUUAGCGGGGUCCAGCCGGCGGCAGGCGUGGGGGGGCCGCCGGCAGCCAGGCCUCGCCCUGCCGGUGCUGGGCCGGCUGGCGUGCAGCAGCAGCCCAGUGGCGCUCCCGCGCCACGGCCGCCCUUGGAUCAGCAGGCAGCCGCUGGGCAGGAUCAGGAGCAGACCGCUGUGAUGCAGCGGUACUUGGCCGAGCUGGCGGACCUCAAUCUCCAGCGGCAACGGCGGUUACAGCAACAGCAGCAGCAGGAGCUGCAGCGCCAGGGGCAGUCACCCAGGCCCCGGACCGGCUCCCAGGUUGUGGUCCUGGCCACGCGGGGGGGGCAGGACGGGGCGGGCGGUAGCCCUGGCGUGGCGGCGUCACGGCGUGGGCAACGUGUUGACAUAGUUGACCACAUGGGGGACGUGCAGAUGCAGGAGGCGGCGGGUGUGGGUGACACAGCGGCUGCCGCUGGUGGCGCCAGCGGACCACCCGCCGUGGCCUCGCCCUCGCUGCCAGCUCUGGUGGCGGGGGGAAGCACCCAUGCUGCUGCGGCUCCCCUGAGGGCCGAGCGACAGCAGCAGCCCUCUUCACAGCAGCGGGUGGCAGCGGGAGGGCUUAGCGGGGGGCAGCCGUCGGCAGGCGUGGGGGGGCCACCGGCGGUCAGGCGUCGUACUGCCGGUGCUGGGUCGGCUGGCGCGCAGCAGCAGCCCAGUGGGGCUCCCGCGUCACAGCCGCCCUUUGAUCAGCGGGCAGCCGCCAGGCAGGAUCAGGAGCAGACCGCUGUGAUGCAGCGGUACUUGGCCUACAUGGCGGACCUCCAUCUCCAGCAGCAACGGCGGGUACAGCAACAGCAGCAGCAGGAGCAGCAGCGCCAGGUGCAGCCGCCCAGGCCCCGGACCGGCUCCCGGUUUGCGGUCCUGGCCACGCUGGGGGGACAGGACGGCGUGGGUGAUGGCGCUGCCACGGCGGCGUCUGGGCGUGGGCGACAGGCGCAACCAGCCGUGCACGCACCGCCGCCGCCGCCACAGCAACAGCCCCGCUCUAAAGGGCGCGGUGGCCCCGCCCAGCUCCCGCAGCAGAGGGCAGGGCGCUUGGGCGGCGGGCUGCCUCCCCCGCAGGACGGUGCUAGCUCGCCACCGCACGUGCCCACUGGGCGGCCGGCCGGGGGACAGCAGGAUGGUGGGGGCAGCGGGUCGCGGCGCCAGGGUGGAGGAGCGGGGCAGGCAGUGCCUCAGCCGCCGCCCCAGGCGCGGCCGCCACUGCAGACGUCACAACCGGCGGGUGGUGGUAAGGGCAGGGGCAGGGGCCUGGGCGCGCCGGCUGGGGCUUCGGCCGACACGGCUGGGCGCGCGGGUGGGGGUGCGGGCAGUGAGGCGGAGUACGGGGCCGUUUGCCUGACCCGGGACGCGUGUGUUGCCAUCGGCUCUGACCUCGUGACGCACCAGAACCGCUGCGCAGAUGUGCAGGGGUUUGAGUGGGCGCAGCUGGGCCACGACACGCUUGGUGGCCGCCUCCUCGCCUACCUCCGUGACCAGGGCGCCACCGUACCGGACUGGGCCGUCUGCCGCGUGCCGGCCGGCCGUACCGCCGUCCUGGCACAGCUGCGCGACGAGUUCACUGGCUGGUGGCGCCUGUACUCAGCCCAGCCUGCAGAUACACCCCUGCCUUCCGACGUGACGGAGCAGCUGGAUGACGCCGCGCAGCAGGUGCAGACGGCCUACAUGGACUACGUGCUCCUAGACGCCCGCACCCUGCGGUCCGCUAAGCGUGGGCCGGCGGACCCCGGCGGGGCCAGCGGGCCCAGCCACCGGCAACGCCAGCACCGCAGCCGCAGUACCUCCAGCCCCAUGAGCCUGGGCAGCGCUCCAUUGCACCCCGGCGGCGCCAGCUCAGGUGCCGUUAGCAUGAGCACCAGCGGCGGCGGCGCGCCCCCCAGCCAGGGUGGCGGCCGCCGCGGCAAACGCCACAGCAGCAACAGCAACCGCAACCGCCACGGCGCUGCCGUGGCCGGCGGGGGCUCAUAAUGCGGCCACCAGUGGGAGCGGCGAACCUUCGGCUGCUGACAGUGAAUGUCAACGGCCUGGGCUCGCCGUUCAAGGCGCGGGCGCUGGUCUCGCACCUGCAGCAAGUUGGGGCGGAUGUGGCGAUGGUGCAGGAGACCCACGCUACUGACACGACGGCGCUGGAGUCUUGCCUUCGUGCCGCGCAGGGGGCGUGCCUUCCGUGGCGCCACUGCCUCGCUGCCAGCCCGGCAGCGUCGCCCCGCUCCUGUGGGACGGCUAUCCUGGCGCGGAGUCGGCUGUCCCUUCCAGGCUGCGUACUGCAGCCGCCGUCAACGGAUGCGGCGGGCCGUGUGGUAUGUUGGGAUUGGGACGUGGGUCACCUGCGCCUGCGCUUUGUGUGUGUGUAUGCGCCCACGGCCGUGGCGGACAAGCCUGCUUUCUUUGCCGGGCUGCAUCCCCACCUGGCCACGGACAGGGUGCUUGUUGUCGGUGGGGACUGGAACUGUGUCACCGAUGCCAGUCAGGAGGCGGCCCCUAGCCCGUCACGUGCUGCAGGUGCCCCGCAACUUGCCAGCCUCCUCGCCCAGUUCAGUCUGGUGGACCCUUGGGCGAGCAAGCGUGGCGGCGCCAAGGGCUACACGCAUCCGGCCACACCCAAGCCAGCCACUCCCGCACGCCUGGAUCGGUGGUAUGUCAGUGCCACCGCGGCGACGUGGGUGGUGGAUGUCGCUCGCACGUACGGGGCGCCUGGGGACCACAACGGUGUGCUGCUCACCCUGUCCUUGCCCGACCUGCCACAUGCGCACCGGGAGCAGUGGCGCUUCCCCACCUACCUGCUGUUUCACCCCUCGCUGCGUUUGGAGCUCAAGCAGCGCUUGGAGGCGCACGUUGCCGCAAAUCCCGUGGCCAGUACAGGUGACGGCGCUUGCACGCAAUGGGAGGCGGACAAGUUCUUCUUGCGGGAGGCCGCCACCAGCAUCCACCGUCGGCAUGCACGCCAGACCCGGGACGGGCUGCAUGGGGUGGUGCUGGCCGCAGACGCGGCCGCUGCCCUGGCCGACCGGCCGGGUGCCAGCGCCGCGCAGCGUCAGGCUGCGGCCAUGGCCAACUUGGCGGUGCGGGAGGAGCGGGCAGCUGCCGCAGCAGCCAGCCACAAUGCCCGCGCUGCGCUGAUGGAGGAGCAUGGGGAGCGGGGCACACGCUGGUUCCAUCGGCAGGCUGACGAGCCAGCAGCCGGCGCGCAGGAGCCCAUCACGCACUUGAAGGUGCCGGGGCAACCGGCGCCUGUGGCGCUCACGGGGCCGGGCACGCGCAACACUGUCUCCGCAGCCGCCGCAGCCAUGUACAGCAGCACCAGCCCCACCGGCCUGUUCCGCGUGCAGCCUGUCUGUACGGUGUCGCAGCAACAGCUUCUGGAGGCCAUUGACCGCAAGGUUCCGGCGGAUCUGCAGGCCGCCGCAGAGGGGUCCGGUGACGGCGCCCUCAGUGAUGCCGAGCUGAUGGCAGCGCUGGCUGGCUCCGCCAAUGGUAAAGCGCCUGGGUCGGACGGGGUCCCGUACGAGGUGUACAAGGUUUUCUGGGCGCUGCUGGGUCCGCGCUUGUGUGCUGCUGCUGCCGCUGCCUUUGCUGCCGCUGCAGACGCCCACGAUGGCGGUGAAAUGGCGGCAACGCUGCCCGCCUCCUGGCGGGAGGGCAUCAUCACCCUCAUCUACAAGGGCAAAAGCCUGGACCGCGCCGAGCUGGCGUCCUACCGGCCCAUCACGCUGCUCAACUGCGACUUCAAGAUGGUGUCCAAGGCCGUCAGCGCCCGCCUGCAGCCCGCCCUGGAUGCAGUUGUGGAUGAGCUGCAGACCGCGUUCAUCACCGGCCGCUGGAUUGGAGACAAUGCGCUGUACCUCCAAGGCCUGAUCGAAUGGAUGCGCCUGGACGUGGGCGCGGACGGCACGCCACGGCAGGGUGGUGCGCUGUACUUCUUGGACAUUGAAAAGGCGUAUGACCGGGUGCACCGACAGUGGCUGUAUGCGUCCGCGGAGGGACUGGGGUUUGGGCCGCGCAUGCUACGCUGGAUCCGCCUGCUCACUGCCAACGGCUCUGCCCGCGUGUGUGUGAACGGGAUGCUCUCUGACGCCUUCCCAGUGCUGAACGGCUUGCCGCAGGGCAGCACCGCCUCACCACCCCUGUGGGUCAUCCAGAUGCAGCCACUGACGUCCUUUCUGCGGCGGCAGGUGGAGCAAGGGGCACUGCGCACGCCCCUGUUACCCAGCGGCGAGCAGGCGCCACCUGCUGCCCACCACGCUGACGACACGACCCUCACGGCGCGCGACCCGGCGGUGGACGGGCCGGUCCUGAUGGCGGCAGUACAGCUGUUCUGCCGCGCGUCCAACGCCCGUGUCCAUCCGGACAAGAGCAAGGCCAUGGGCCUUGGCAGGUUUGCGCACCUGACGGGCCCUUGCCCACACACGGGGGUGCCGUUUACCACUGGCGCCGUGACGCACCUGGGUGUGCCUCUGUCGUGCGACUCUGUUGCGGCUGCAGCUGACCUGUACACCCGGCGGGCUCGCGGUAUGGCGUUUGUGGCGCGUCUGUGGGCUGCCCUGUCUCUGACUCUCGUUGGCCGUGUGCACAUUGCGAAGCAGGUGCUGGCGGCGAAGCUGGCCUACCACUUCAGCUUCCUCAACCCGUCGCCUGCGCAGCUGAAGGAACUCACCGACCUGGUGGACCACUUUGCUGCGCGCUCCAUGCACGCUGAGGACGCCAGCCUGGUGUCGCACGGGAACCCGCUCCUGCUGCCAAAGCGGGAAACGGCAUGUCUGACGUACAAGGACGGGGGUGUCAACCACGUCGACCUGCCUGCGUUCCUGUCUGCCCUGCAAGCUAAGACUUUCGCCCUCCUUGCCCAGCCAGGCCGGCAACCCUGGAAGAUGCUCACCCGGGCGCUGCUUACCCAUGUGCGCCCGGCCUCAGCCACCACGUGGGCGUGGGUGUACAGCGACGCGCCAGCGCCAGCGGGGCUGCCUGCCCGGCUGGCGGCCGCGGUCGGCCACGUGCGGAGCGCGGGUGUGGAACAGCAUCCGCCGCAGCCAGCCACUCAGCCACCAGCGGCGCCGCCACAGUGGCGGGUUAGCCUGGACCAGCUGUGGGUGGCUAAUGCUGCGGGGGCUGUGUCCUACGUCCACUACACGGGGCGGCUCUUGGAGCCUGGGCCUGGCGUGCUGCCCCCGGCGGUGGAUGGGGCGUGGCAGCCUGCCUGUGUGCUGCAGCAUCGCAAGCCGCGGCACCUGUGGACCUUUGAAGAGCGGGCGGCGUACGAUGCAGCAUCACCAGGGGAACGGGCGGGGGCGUGGCCUCGGGCGCCGUACUUCCUGGCGCCGGAGGCUGGGGUGGUGGUGCACCCGGAGCACUGCCGGAUUGCGGGUGUCAGCCUGGCGGACUACACGGUGCGGGACGUGCGGCGGGCCAUCACCGCGGCUAACCCGGCCGCACCUCCGGCUCCGGCCCGCCCUGCAGCCAUGCCGUGCCCAGCGCCAGCACAGCAGGCGGGGGGUUCGGGGACCCAGCCGGCGGCACAGUCGCGGCUGGUGGAGCGGGAGGCGGAGUGGCAGCGUGCAGCGGCGCAGCUGACCACCACGGCGGCGCAGCAUUUCCACAAUAACCCGGUAGCUCUGGACCCCUGGCUCCACCGCACCUCUGCGGCAGCCGCGCUGCAGAACACGCCCCUGUUCAACCUUGUAAGGAUGAUUCCUCAAAAAAAAAACGCCGGCGAGAGAACUGCAGUCGUAUGCGUCCCCGUCCCAACAGUCGGGUGAGGGGCCGCGGCGGUCCGCGCGGCUGCAGGAGCAGGCGGCGGGCGGGGCGGGGCCUAGCACGGGGCCUGCCACGGCGGCGGCGGCAGCAGCGGCGGCGGUGGAGGGCGACCCUCGCAUGCCGCCCCCGGAUGCGUCCCUUCUGCGGGGUACGUGGCGGAGGCUGUGGGACAGCCACGCCAGUCGGGGGGCAAAGGUGCUGGUGUACCGGCUGCAACAUGCUUACCUGCCUUGCGGGCUGUACAGGGCGGGCAAGGGCAUUCGGCCACGGGUGACCACGGGGUGCGGGGGGUUGGGGGCGCACUGUCCUCACCCCGCCUGCGGGCCACCUGGCCCGCGGGCGUGGGCCAGCCUGACGCACAUCUUCCUGGAGUGUCCAGCUUAUGCGCAGGCGAGGACGUGGCUGCAGCAGCUGUGGGCCUGCGUUGCGCCCCAGGCAGCGGCGCCGCCAGUGACGGACGCGGGCUUCAUGCUGGGGGACCGCAUGGGUAUGUGGGCCUCAGGCCCGCGGGGGGCGGGCGCGCUGCUGUGGAGCACUUUGCGGGCCACCUUCUUGUACGCCGUCUGGUGUGCGUACUGGUCCCGUGAGCCUGCUAAGCAGACGUCGGAGCAUGUGGUUCGGGAGGUGGUCAGCGAGCUGCGCAGGGUGAUGCAGCUGCGUUUCACUGCAGCCACGCUAACCCCUGAAACCCUGUCGGCUCUGCCCACACAGCUUCUCACCGCACAGCUCAAGGCGGCUAAGCUGGAGCACUUUGUUGCCAUCUGGUCGGCGGGUGGCGCGCUUUGUGAAGUGGAGGAGGUUCAGGGUGGGUCACCGAAGUUGAACUUGCGGCUGACGCUUGCAUCACCUGUGCAGGCCCCCUAGGUUUCCUUUUGGGCGGCGUUUCUUUCCAGGCGCUGGCGUGGCGUUUAUCGUCAUCAGCUUAUCUGGCGCCCAUGUGUUUUAGCUCUGGCUGGCGUCGCAGCGCCUGGGCGGCUGUGGGACUUCCUGCUCAGCGCGUCUUGCAGCGGGCUGGAGCCCGCCUAGUCAGCGCCACAUCUGGCCCGUUUAGUUUUCUGCUUGUGUCUCCUCUGCCGGUUCUCCUGGGGUGUUGCUUAAGCAACCGACUUGUGGGGGUGGGGUGGGUUUGGGCGGGGCGAGUGCGUAGCGCUGGUGUUUCCUCUUCUGGCGCGCGGUGGUGGUGGUUCUUGCGGUUAGGCUGUGGUGUAGGCUGGUGCUUGGGUUAGGUCUGGCGGUGUUUUUGUGCAACUCCUCCCGGGGGGCGGGGGGGCCAGCCUUCUGCUCUGUCUGCCGGGUCGGGGUGGGGUGGGGUGGGAUGGAUGNNNNNNNNNNNNNNNNNNNNNNNNNNNNNNNNNNNNNNNNNNNNNNNNNNNNNNNNNNNNNNNNNNNNNNNNNNNNNNNNNNNNNNNNNNNNNNNNNNNNGGUUUGCGCACCUGACGGGCCCUUGCCCACACACGGGGGUGCCGUUUACCACUGGCGCCGUGACGCACCUGGGUGUGCCCCUGUCGUGGGACUCUGAUGCGGCUGCAGCUGACUUGUACACCCGGCGGGCUCGCGGCAUGGCGUUUGUGGCGCGUCUGUGGGCUGCCCUGUCUCUGACUCUCGUUGGCCGUGUGCACAUUGCAAAGCAGGUGCUGGCGGCGAAGCUGGCGUACCACUUCAGCUUCCUCAACCCGUCGCCUGCGCAGCUGAAGGAACUCACCGACCUGGUGGACCACUUUGCUGCGCGCUCCAUGCACGCUGAGGACGCCAGCCUGGUGUCGCAUGGGAACCCGCUCCUGCUGCCAAAGCGGGAAACGGCCUGUCUGCCGUACAAGGAUGGGGGUGUUAACCACGUCGACCUGCCUGCGUUCCUGUCUGCCCUGCAAGCUAAGACUUUCGCCCUCGUUGCCCAGCCAGGCCGGCAACCCUGGAAGACGCUCACCCGGGCGCUGCUUACCCAUGUGCGCCCGGACUCCGCCACCACGUGGGCGUGGGUGUACAGCGACGCGCCAGCGCCAGCGGGGCUGCCUGCCCGGCUGGCGGCCGCGGUCGGCCACGUGCGGAGCGCGGGUGUGGAACAGCAUCCGCCGCAGCCAGCCACUCAGCCGCCAGCGGCGCCGCCACAGUGGCGGGUUAGCCUGGACCAGCUGUGGGUGGCUAACGCUGCGGGGGCUGUGUCCUACGUCCACUACACGGGGCGGCUCUUGGAGCCUGGGCCUGGCGUGCUGCCCCCGGCGGUGGAUGGGGCGUGGCAGCCUGCCUGUGUGCUGCAGCAUCGCAAGCCGCGGCACCUGUGGACCUUUGAAGAGCGGGCGGCGUACGAUGCAGCAUCACCAGGGGAACGGGCGGGGGCGUGGCCUCGGGCGCCGUACUUCCUGGCGCCGGAGGCUGGGGUGGUGGUGCACCCGGAGCACUGCCGGAUUGCGGGUGUCAGCCUGGCGGACUACACGGUGCGGGACGUGCGGCGGGCCAUCACCGCGGCUAACCCGGCCGCACCUCCGGCUCCGGCCCGCCCUGCAGCCAUGCCGUGCCCAGCGCCAGCACAGCAGGCGGGGGGUUCGGGGACCCAGCCGGCGGCACAGUCGCGGCUGGUGGAGCGGGAGGCGGAGUGGCAGCGUGCAGCGGCGCAGCUGACCACCACGGCGGCGCAGCAUUUCCACAAUAACCCGGUAGCUCUGGACCCCUGGCUCCACCGCACCUCUGCGGCAGCCGCGCUGCAGAACACGCCCCUGUUCAACCUUGUAAGGAUGAUUCCUCAAAAAAAAAACGCCGGCGAGAGAACUGCAGUCGUAUGCGUCCCCGUCCCAACAGUCGGGUGAGGGGCCGCGGCGGUCCGCGCGGCUGCAGGAGCAGGCGGCGGGCGGGGCGGGGCCUAGCACGGGGCCUGCCACGGCGGCGGCGGCAGCAGCGGCGGCGGUGGAGGGCGACCCUCGCAUGCCGCCCCCGGAUGCGUCCCUUCUGCGGGGUACGUGGCGGAGGCUGUGGGACAGCCACGCCAGUCGGGGGGCAAAGGUGCUGGUGUACCGGCUGCAACAUGCUUACCUGCCUUGCGGGCUGUACAGGGCGGGCAAGGGCAUUCGGCCACGGGUGACCACGGGGUGCGGGGGGUUGGGGGCGCACUGUCCUCACCCCGCCUGCGGGCCACCUGGCCCGCGGGCGUGGGCCAGCCUGACGCACAUCUUCCUGGAGUGUCCAGCUUAUGCGCAGGCGAGGACGUGGCUGCAGCAGCUGUGGGCCUGCGUUGCGCCCCAGGCAGCGGCGCCGCCAGUGACGGACGCGGGCUUCAUGCUGGGGGACCGCAUGGGUAUGUGGGCCUCAGGCCCGCGGGGGGCGGGCGCGCUGCUGUGGAGCACUUUGCGGGCCACCUUCUUGUACGCCGUCUGGUGUGCGUACUGGUCCCGUGAGCCUGCUAAGCAGACGUCGGAGCAUGUGGUUCGGGAGGUGGUCAGCGAGCUGCGCAGGGUGAUGCAGCUGCGUUUCACUGCCGCCACGCUAACCCCUGAAACCCUGUCGGCUCUGCCCACACAGCUUCUCACCGCACAGCUCAAGGCGGCUAAGCUGGAGCACUUUGUUGCCAUCUGGUCGGCGGGUGGCGCGCUUUGUGAAGUGGAGGAGGUUCAGGGUGGGUCACCGAAGUUGAACUUGCGGCUGACGCUUGCAUCACCUGUGCAGGCCCCCUAGGUUUCCUUUUGGGCGGCGUUUCUUUCCAGGCGCUGGCGUGGCGUUUAUCGUCAUCAGCUUAUCUGGCGCCCAUGUGUUUUAGCUCUGGCUGGCGUCGCAGCGCCUGGGCGGCUGUGGGACUUCCUGCUCAGCGCGUCUUGCAGCGGGCUGGAGCCCGCCUAGUCAGCGCCACAUCUGGCCCGUUUAGUUUUCUGCUUGUGUCUCCUCUGCCGGUUCUCCUGGGGUGUUGCUUAAGCAACCGACUUGUGGGGGUGGGGUGGGUUUGGGCGGGGCGAGUGCGUAGCGCUGGUGUUUCCUCUUCUGGCGCGCGGUGGUGGUGGUUCUUGCGGUUAGGCUGUGGUGUAGGCUGGUGCUUGGGUUAGGUCUGGCGGUGUUUUUGUGCAACUCCUCCCGGGGGGCGGGGGGGCCAGCCUUCUGCUCUGUCUGCCGGGUCGGGGUGGGGUGGGGUGGGAUGGAUGGGGGUGGUUGGUGGCGGUUUUCGAGGUGUUUGUUUUCUGUUUUUCUUCUCUUUUCUUCUCUUCUUGCCCUGUCAGGGUUCUGGUCUCGGGGACCAGGCUGCUUUCGGGCAGUAGGGGGGCAGCGCGUCUGCCCCUGUUCAACCUUGUAAGGAUGAUUCCUCAAAAAAAAAUCAGCGGGCAGCCGCCAGGCAGGAUAAGCAGCUGGCAGCUGCGAUGCAGCGGUACUUGGCCUACAUGGCGGACCUCCAUCUCCAGCAGCAACGGCGGGUACAGCAACAGCAGCAGCAGGAGCAGCAGCGCCAGGUGCAGCCGCCCAGGCCCCGGACCGGCUCCCGCUUUGGGGUCCUGGCCACGCUGGGGGGACAGGACGGCGUGGGUGAUGGCACGGCCACGGCGGCGUCCGGGCGUGGGCGACGGGUGCAACCAGCCGCGCACGCACCGCCGCCGCCGCCGCAGCAGCAACAGCCCAGCUCCAAAGGGCGCUGUGGCCCCGCCCAGCUUCCGCAGCAGAGGGCAGGGUGCUUGGGCGGGGGGCUGCCUCCCCCGCAGGACGGUGAUAGCGCGCCGCCGCACGUGCCCACUGGGCGGCCGGCCGGGGGACAGCAGGCUGGUGGGGGCAGCGGGUCGGGGCGCCAGGGUGGAGGAGCGGGGCGGGCAGUGCCCCAGGCGCCGCCCCAGGCGGGGCCGCCACUGCAGACGUCACAACCGGCGGGUGGUGGUAAGGACAGGGGCAGGGGCCUGGGCGCGCCGGCUGGGGUUUCGGCCGACACGGCUGGGCGCGCUGGUGGGGGUGCGGGCAGUGAGGCGGAGUACGGGGCCGUUUGCCUGACCCGGGACACGUGUGUUGCCAUCGGCUCUGACCUCGUGACGCACCAGAACCGCUGCGCAGAUGUGCAGGGGUAUGAGUGGACGCAGCUUGGCCGCGAUGCGCUUGGUGGCCGCCUCCUUUUUUUUGAGGAAUCAUCCUUACAAGGUUGAACAGGGGCAGACGCGCUGCCCCCCUGCUCCUCGCCUACCUCCGUGACCAGGGCGCCACCGUACCGGACUGGGCCGUCUGCCGCGUGCCGGCCGGCCGUACCGCCGUCCUGGCACAGCUGCACGACGAGUUCACUGGCUGGUGGCGCCUAUACUCAGCCCAGCCUGCAGACACGCCCCUGCCUUCCGACGUGACGGAGCAGCUGGAUGACGCCGCGCAGCAGGUGCAGACGGCCUACAUGGACUACGUGCUCCUAGACGCCCGCACCCUGCGGUCCGCUAAGCGUGGGCCGGCGGACCCCGGCGGGGCCAGCGGGCCCAGCCGCCGGCAACGCCAGCACCGCAGCCGCAGUACCUCCAGCCUCAUGAGCCUGGGCAGCGCUCCAUUGCGCCCUGGCGGCGCCAGCUCAGGCGCCGCUAGCAUGAGCACCAGCAGUGGCGGCGCGCCCCCCAGCCAGGGUGGCGGCCGCCGCGGCAAACGCCACAGCAGCAACAGCAACCGCAACCGCCACGGCGCUGCCGUGGCCGGCGGGGGCUCAUAAUGCGGCCACCAGUGGGAGCGGCGAACCUUCGGCUGCUGACAGUGAAUGUCAACGGCCUGGGCUCGCCGUUCAAGGCGCGGGCGCUGGUCUCGCACCUGCAGCAAGUUGGGGCGGAUGUGGCGAUGGUGCAGGAGACCCACGCUACUGACACGACGGCGCUGGAGUCUUGCCUUCGUGCCGCGCAGGGGGCGUGCCUUCCGUGGCGCCACUGCCUUGCUGCCAGCCCGGCAGCGUCGCCCCACUCCUGUGGGGCGGCUAUCCUGGCGCGGAGUCGGCUGUCCCUUCCAGGCUGCGUACUGCAGCCGCCGUCAACGGAUGCGGCGGGCCGUGUGGUAUGUUGGGAUUGGGACGUGGGUCACUUGCGCCUGCGCUUCGUGUGUGUGUGUGCGCCCACGGCCGUGGCGGACAAGCCUGCUUUCUUUGCCGGGCUGCAUCCCCACCUGGCCACGGACAGGGUGCUUGUUGUCGGUGGGGACUGGAACUGUGUCACCGAUGCCAGUCAGGAGGCGGCCCCUAGCCCGUCACGUGCUGCAGGUGCCCCGCAACUUGCCAGCCUCCUCGCCCAGUUCAGUCUGGUGGACCCUUGGGCGAGCAAGCGUGGCGGCGCUAAGGGCUACACGCAUCCGGCCACGCCCAAGCCGGCCACUCCCGCACGCCUGGAUCGGUGGUAUGUCAGUGCCACCGCGGGGCCGUGGGUGGUGGAUGUCGCUCGCACGUACGGGGCGCCUGGGGACCACAACGGUGUGCUGCUCACCCUGUCCUUGCCCGACCUGCCACAUGCGCACCGGGAGCAGUGGCGCUUCCCCACGUACCUGCUGUUUUUUUUUUUUGAGGAAUCAUCCUUACAAGGUUGAACAGGGGCAGACGCGCUGCCCCCCUGCUGCCUGAAGACAGCCUGUUUCACCCCUCGCUGCGUUUGGAGCUCGAGCAGCGCUUGGAGGCGCACGUUGCCGCAAAUCCCGUUGCCAGUACAGGUGACGGCGCUUGCACGCAAUGGGAGGCGGACAAGUUCUUCUUGCGGGAGGCCGCCACCAGCAUCCACCGUCGGCAUGCACGCCAGACCCGGGAUGGGCUGCAUGGCGUGGUGCUGGCCGCAGACGCGGCCGCUGCCCUGGCCGACCGGCCGGGUGCCAGCGCCGCACAGCGUCAGGCUGCGGCCAUGGCCAACUUGGCGGUGCGGGAGGAGCGGGCAGCUGCCGCAGCGGCCAGCCACAAUGCCCGCGCUGCACUGAUGGAGGAGCAUGGGGAGCGGGGCACUCGCUGGUUCCAUCGGCAGGCUGAUGAGCCAGCAGCCGGCGCGCAGGAGCCCAUCACACACUUGAAGGUGCCGGGGCAACCGGCGCCUGUGGCGCUCACGGGGCCGGGCACGCGCAACACUGUCUCCGCAGCCGCUGCAGCCAUGUACAGCAGCACCAGCCCCACCGGCCUGUUCCGCGUGCAGCCGGUCUGUACGGCGUCGCAGCAACAGCUUCUGGCGGCCAUUGACCGCAAGGUUCCAGCGGAUCUGCAGGCCGCCGCAGAGGGGUCCGGUGACGGCGCCCUCAGUGAUGCCGAGCUGAUGGCAGCGCUGGCUGGCUCCGCCAAUGGUAAAGCGCCUGGGUCGGACGGGGUCCCGUACGAGGUGUACAAGGUUUUCUGGGCGCUGCUGGGUCCGCGCUUGUGUGCUGCUGCUGCCGCUGCCUUUGCUGCCGCUGCAGACGCCCACGAUGGCGGCGAAAUGGCGGCGGCGCUGCCCGCCUCCUGGCGGGAGGGCAUCAUCACGCUCAUCUACAAGGGCAAAAGCCUGGACCGCGCCGAGCUGGCGUCCUACCGGCCCAUCACGCUGCUCAACUGCGACUUCAAGAUGGUGUCCAAGGCCGUCAGCGCCCGCCUGCAGCCCGCCCUGGAUGCAGUUGUGGAUGAGCUGCAGACCGCGUUCAUCACCGGCCGCUGGAUUGGAGACAACGCGCUGUACCUCCAAGGCCUGAUCGAAUGGAUGCGCCUGGACGUGGGCGCGGACGGCACGCCAUGGCAGGGUGGUGCGCUGUACUUCUUGGACAUUGAAAAGGCGUAUGACCGGGUGCACCGGCAGUGGCUGUAUGCGUCCGCGGAGGGUCUGGGGUUUGGGCCGCGCAUGCUGCGCUGGAUCCGCCUGCUCACUGCCAACGGCUCUGCCCGCGUGUGUGUGAACGGGAUGCUCUCUGACGCCUUCCCAGUGCUGAACGGCUUGCCGCAGGGCAGCACCGCCUCACCACCCCUGUGGGUCAUCCAGAUGCAGCCACUGACGUCCUUUCUGCGGCGGCAGGUGGAGCAAGGGGCACUGCGCACGCCCCUGUUACCCAGCGGCGAGCAGGCGCCGCCUGCUGCCCACCACGCUGACGACACGACCCUCACGGCGCGCGACCCGGCAGUGGACGGGCCGGUCCUGAUGGCGGCAGUACAGCUGUUCUGCCGCGCGUCCAACGCCCGUGUCCAUCCGGACAAGAGCAAGGCCAUGGGCCUUGGCAGGUUUGCGCACCUGACGGGCCCUUGCCCACACACGGGGGUGCCGUUUACCACUGGCGCCGUGACGCACCUGGGUGUGCCCCUGUCGUGGGACUCUGAUGCGGCUGCAGCUGACUUGUACACCCGGCGGGCUCGCGGCAUGGCGUUUGUGGCGCGUCUGUGGGCUGCCCUGUCUCUGACUCUCGUUGGCCGUGUGCACAUUGCAAAGCAGGUGCUGGCGGCGAAGCUGGCGUACCACUUCAGCUUCCUCAACCCGUCGCCUGCGCAGCUGAAGGAACUCACCGACCUGGUGGACCACUUUGCUGCGCGCUCCAUGCACGCUGAGGACGCCAGCCUGGUGUCGCAUGGGAACCCGCUCCUGCUGCCAAAGCGGGAAACGGCCUGUCUGCCGUACAAGGAUGGGGGUGUUAACCACGUCGACCUGCCUGCGUUCCUGUCUGCCCUGCAAGCUAAGACUUUCGCCCUCGUUGCCCAGCCAGGCCGGCAACCCUGGAAGACGCUCACCCGGGCGCUGCUUACCCAUGUGCGCCCGGACUCCGCCACCACGUGGGCGUGGGUGUACAGCGACGCGCCAGCGCCAGCGGGGCUGCCUGCCCGGCUGGCGGCCGCGGUCGGCCACGUGCGGAGCGCGGGUGUGGAACAGCAUCCGCCGCAGCCAGCCACUCAGCCACCAGCGGCGCCGCCACAGUGGCGGGUUAGCCUGGACCAGCUGUGGGUGGCUAAUGCUGCGGGGGCUGUGUCCUACGUCCACUACACGGGGCGGCUCUUGGAGCCUGGACCUGGCGUGCUGCCCCCGGCGGUGGAUGGGGCGUGGCAGCCUGCCUGUGUGCUGCAGCAUCGCAAGCCGCGGCACCUGUGGACCUUUGAAGAGCGGGCGGCGUACGAUGCAGCAUCACCAGGGGACCGGGCGGGGGCGUGGCCUCGGGCGCCGUACUUCCUGGCGCCGGAGGCUGGGGUGGUGGUGCACCCGGAGCACUGCCGGAUUGCGGGUGUCAGCUUGGCGGACUACACGGUGCGGGACGUGCGGCGGGCCAUCACCGCGGCUAACCCGGCCGCACCUCCGGCUCCGGCCCGCCCCGCAGCCAUGCCGUGCCCAGCGCCAGCACAGCAGGCGGGGGGGUCGGGGACCCAGCCGGCGGCACAGUCGCGGCUGGCGGAGCGGGAGGCGGAGUGGCAGCGUGCAGCGGCGCAGCUGACCACCACGGCGGCGCAGCACUUCAACAAUCACCCGGUGGCUCUGGACCCCUGGCUCCACCGCACCUCUGCGGCAGCCGGGCUGCAGAACACGCCGGCGAGAGAACUGCAGUCGUAUGCGUCCCCGUUCCAGCACUCGGGUGAGGGGCCGCGGCGUUCCGCGCGGCUGCAGGAGCAGGCGGCGGGCGGGGCGGGACCUAGCACGGGGCCUGCCACGGCGACGGCGGCAGCAGCGGCGGCGGUGGAGGGCGACCCUCGCAUGCCGCCCCCGGAUGCGUCCCUUCUGCGGGGUACGUGGCGGAGGCUGUGGGACAGCCACGCUAGUCGGGGGGCAAAGGUGCUGGUGUACCGGCUGCAACAUGCUUACCUGCCUUGCGGGCUGUACCGGGCGGGCAAGGGAAUUCGUCCACGGGUGACCACGGGGUGCGGGGGGUUGGGGGCGCACUGUCCUCACCCCGCCUGCGGGCCACCUGGCCCGCGGGCGUGGGCCAGCCUGACGCACAUCUUCCUGGAGUGUCCAGCUUAUGCGCAGGCGAGGACGUGGCUGCAGCAGCUGUGGGCCUGCGUUGCGCCCCAGGCAGCGGCGCCGCCAGUGACGGACGCGGGCUUCAUGCUGGGGGACCGCAUGGGUAUGUGGGCCUCAGGCCCGCGGGGGGCGGGCGCGCUGCUGUGGAGCACUUUGCGGGCCACCUUCUUGUACGCCGUCUGGUGUGCGUACUGGUCCCGUGAGCCUGCUAAGCAGACGUCGGAGCAUGUGGUUCGGGAGGUGGUCAGCGAGCUGCGCAGGGUGAUGCAGCUGCGUUUCACUGCCGCCACGCUAACCCCUGAAACCCUGUCGGCUCUGCCCACACAGCUUCUCACCGCACAGCUCAAGGCGGCUAAGCUGGAGCACUUUGUUGCCAUCUGGUCGGCGGGUGGCGCGCUUUGUGAAGUGGAGGAGGUUCAGGGUGGGUCACCGAAGUUGAAGUUGCGGCUGACGCUUGCAUCACCUGUGCAGGCCCCCUAGGUUUCCUUUUAGGCGGCGGUUCGUUCCAGGCGCUGGCGUGGCGUUUUAUCGUCAUCAGCUUAUCUGGCGCCCAUGUGUUUUAGCUCUGGCUGGCGUCGCAGCGCCUGGGCGGCUGUGGGCCUUCCUGCACAGCGCGUCUUGCAGCGGGCUGGAGCCCGCUUAGUCAGCGCCACAUCUGGCCCGUUUAGUUUUCUGCUUGUGUCUCCUCUGCCGGUUCUCCUGGGGUGUUGCUUAAGCAACCGACUUGUGGGGGUGGGGUGGGUUUUGGGCGGGGCGAGUGCGUAGCGCUGGUGUUUUCUUUUCUGGCGCACGGUGGUGGUUGUUCUUGCGGUUAGGCUGUGGUGUAGGUUGGUGCUUGGGUUAGGUCUGGCGGUGUUUUUGUGCAACCCCUCCCAGGGGGCGGGGGGGCCAGCCUCCUGCUCUGUCUGCCGGGUCGGGGUGGGAUGGGGUGGGAUUGGUGGUUGCUGGCGUUUUCGAGGUGUUUGCUUUCUGUUUUCUUCUCUUCUCUUCUCUUCUUGCCCUUUCAGGGUUCUGGUCUCGGGGACCAGGCUGCUUUCAGGCAGCAGGGGGGCAGCGCGUCUGCCCCUGUUCAACCUUGUAAGGAUGAUUCCUCAAAAAAAAAAGCAGCAGCACACAAGCGCGGACCCAGCAGCGCCCAGAAAACCUUGUACACCUCGUACGGGACCCCGUCCGACCCAGGCGCUUUACCAUUGGCGGAGCCAGCCAGCGCUGCCAUCAGCUCGGCAUCACUGAGGGCGCCGUCACCGGACCCCUCUGCGGCGGCCUGCAGAUCCGCCGGAACCUUGCGGUCAAUGGCCGCCAGAAGCUGUUGCUGCGACGCCGUACAGACCGGCUGCACGCGGAACAGGCCGGUGGGGCUGGUGCUGCUGUACAUGGCUGCGGCGGCUGCGGAGACAGUGUUGCGCGUGCCCGGCCCCGUGAGCGCCACAGGCGCCGGUUGCCCCGGCACCUUCAAGUGCGUGAUGGGCUCCUGUGCGCCGGCUGCUGGCUCGUCAGCCUGCCGAUGGAACCAGCGAGUGCCCCGCUCCCCAUGCUCCUCCAUCAGUGCAGCGCGGGCAUUGUGGCUGGCCGCUGCGGCAGCUGCCCGCUCCUCCCGCACCGCCAAGUUGGCCAUGGCCGCAGCCUUUUUUUUUUUUUAGGAAUCAUCCUUACAAGGUUGAACAGGGGCAGACGCGCUGCCCCCCUACUGCCCGAAAGCAGCCUGGUCCCCGAGACCAGAACUCUGACAGGGCAAGAAGAGAAGAAAAGAGAAGAAAAACAGAAAACAAACACCUGGAAAACCGCCACCAACCACCCCCAACCAUCCCACCCCACCCCACCCCGACCCGGCAGACAGAGCAGAAGGCUGGCCCCCCCGCCCCCCGGGAGGGGUAGCACAAAAACACCGCCAGACCUAACCCAAGCACCAGCCUACACCACAGCCUAACCGCAAGAACCACCACCACCGCGCGCCAGAAGAGGAAACACCAGCGCUACGCACCCGCCCCGCCCAAAACCCACCCCACCCCCACAACGACGCUGCGCGGCGCUGCACCCGGCCGGUCGGCCAGGGCAGCGGCCGCGUCUGCGGCCAGCACCACGCCAUGCAGCCCGUCCCGGGUCUGGCGUGCAUGCCGACGGUGGAUGCUGGUGGCGGCCUCCCGCAAGAAGAACUUGUCCGCCUCCCAUUGCGUGCAAGCGCCAUCACCUGUACUGGUCACGGGAUUUGCGGCAACGUGCGCCUCCAAGCGCUGCUUGAGCUCCAAACGCAGCGAGGGGUGAAACAGCAGGUACGUGGGGAAGCGCCACUGCUCCCGGUGCGCAUGUGGCAGGUCGGGCAAGGACAGGGUGAGCAGCACACCGUUGUGGUCCCCAGGCGCCCCAUACGUGCGUGCGACAUCCACCACCCACGGCGCCGCGGUGGCACUGACAUACCACCGAUCCAGGCGUGCGGGAGAGGCCGGCUUGGGCGUGGCCGGAUGCGUGUAGCCCUUGGCGCCGCCACGCUUGCUCGCCCAAGGGUCCACCAGACUGAACUGGGCGAGGAGGCUGGCAAGUUGCGGGGCACCUGCAGCACGUGACGGGCUAGGGGCCGCCUCCUGACUGGCAUCGGUGACACAGUUCCAGUCCCCACCGACAACAAGCACCCUGUCCGAGGCCAGGUGGGUAUGCAGCCCGGCAAAGAAAGCAGGCUUGUCCGCCACGGCCGUGGGCGCAUACACACACACGAAGCGCAGGCGCAGGUGACCCACGUCCCAAUCCCAACAUACCACACGGCCCGCCGCAUCCGUUGACGGCGGCUGCAGUACGCAGCCUGGAAGGGACAGCCGACUCCGCGCCAGGACAGCCGUCCCACAGGAGUGGGGCGACGCUGCCGGGCUGGCAGCAAGGCAGUGGCGCCACGGAAGGCACGCCCCCUGCGCGGCACGAAGGCAAGACUCCAGCGCCGUCGUGUCAGUAGCGUGGGUCUCCUGCACCAUCGCCACAUCCGCCCCAACUUGCUGCAGGUGUGAGACCAGCGCCCGCGCCUUGAACGGCGAGCCCAGGCCGUUGACAUUCACUGUCAGCAGCCGAAGGUUCGCCGCUCCCACUGGUGGCCGCAUUAUGAGCCCCCGCCGGCCACGGCAGCGCCGUGGCGGUGGCGGUUGCUGUUGCUGCUGUGGUGUUUGCCGCGGCGGCCGCCACCCUGGCUGGGGGGCGCGCCGCCGCUGCUGGUGCUCAUGCUAGCGGCACCUGAGCUGGCGCCGCCAGGGUGCAACGGAGCGCUGCCCAGGCUCAUGAGGCUGGAGGUACUGCGGCUGCGGUGCUGGCGUUGCCAGCGGCUGGGCCCGCUGGCCCCGCCGGGGUCCGCCAGCCCACGCUUAGCGGACCGCAGGGUGCGGGCGUCUAGGAGCACGUAGUCCAUGUAGGCCGUCUGCACCUGCUGCGCGGCGUCAUCCAGCUGCUUCGUCAUGUCGAAAGGCAGGGGCAUGUCUGCAGACUGGGCUGAGUAUAGGCGCCACCAGCCAGUGAACUCGUCGCGCAGCUGUGCCAGGACGGCGGUACGGCCGGCUGGCACGCGGCAGACGGCCCAGUCCGGUACGGUGGCGCCCUGGUCACGGAGGUAGGCGAGGAGGCGGCCACCAAGCGCGUCGUGGCCCAGCUGCGCCCACUCAUGCCCCUGCACAUCUGCGCAGCGGUUCUGGUGCGUCACGAGGUCAGAGCCGAUGGCAACACACGUGUCCCGGGUCAGGCAAACGGCCCCGUACUCCGCCUCACUGCCCGCACCCCCACCAGCGCGCCCAACCUUGUCGGCCGAAACCCCCAGGCCCCUGCCCCUGCCCUUACCACCACCCGCCGGUUGUGACGUCUGCAGUGGCGGCCGCGCCUGGGGCGGCGGCUGGGGCACUGCCCGCCCCGCUCCUCCACCCUGACGCCCCAACCCGCUGCCCCCACCAGCCUGCUGUCCCCCUGCCGGCCGUCCAGUGGGCACGUGCGGCGGCGAGCUAGCACCGUCCUGCGGGGGAGGCAGCCCGCCGCCCAAGCGCCCUGCCCUCUGCUGCGGGAGCUGGGCGGGGCCACCGCGCCCUUUGGAGCGGGGCUGUUGCAGUGGCGGCGGCGGCGGUGCGUGCGUGGCUGGUUGCACCCGUCGCCCCCGCCCGGACGCCGCCGUGGCAGCGCCAUCGCCUGCCCCGUCCUGGCCCCCCAGCGUGGCCAGGACCUCAAACCGGGAGCCGGUCCGGGGCCUGGGCGGCUGCACCUGGCGCUGCGGCUCCUUUUUUUUUUGAGGAAUCAUCCUUACAAGGUUGAACAGGGGCAGACGCGCUGCCCCCCUGCUGCCUGAAGACAGCCUGGUCCCCGAGACCAGAACCCUGACAGGGCAAGACUCCUGCUGCUGCUGUUGCUGUAACCGCCGUUGCUGCUGGAGAUGGAGGUCCGCCAUGUAGGCCAAGUACCGCUGCAUCACAGCGGUCUGCUCCUGAUCCUGCCUGGCGGCUGCCCGCUGAUCAAAGGGUGGCUGUGACGCGGGAGCCCCACUGGGCUGCUGCUGCACGCCAGCCGACCCAGCAUCGGCAGUACGACGCCUGACCGCCGGUGGCCCCCCCACGCCUGCCGAACACUGCCCCCCGCUAAGCCCUCCCGCUGCCACCCGCUGCUGUGAAGAGGGCUGCUGCUGUCGCUCGGCCCUCAGGGGAGCCGCAGCAGCACGGGUGCUUGCCCCCGCCACCAGGUGUGGCAGCGAGGGCGAGGCCACGGCGGGUGGUCUGCUGGCACCACCAGCGGCAGCCGCUGCGUCACCCACACCCGCCGCCCUGUACAGCCCGCAAGGCAGGUAAGCAUGUUGCAGCCGGUACACCAGGGGGGCAGCGCGUCUGCCCCUGGUCAACCUUGUAAGGAUGAUUCCUCAAAAAAAAAAAAAAAAGCACUUUUGCCCCCCGACUGGCGUGGCUGUCCCACGGCCUCCCUGUUUUCUUCUCUUUUCUUCUCUUCUUGCCCUGUCAGGGUUCUGGUCUCGGGGACCAGGCUGUUUUCAGGCAGCAGGGGGGCAGCGCGUCUGCCCCUGUUCAACCUUCUAAGGAUGAUUCCUCAAAAACAGAAAGCAAAACACCUUGAAACCGCCACCAACCACCCCCAUCCAUCCCACCCCACCCCAUCCCACCCCGACCCGGCAGACAGAGCAGGAGGCUGGCCCCCCCGCCCCCCGGGAGGGGUUGCACAAAAACACUGCCAGACCUAACCCAAGCACCAACCUACAGCACAGCCUAGCCGCAAGAACCACCACCACCGCACGCCAGAAAAGAAAACACCAGCGCUACGCACUCGCCCCGCCCAAACCCACCCCACCCCCACAAGUCGGUUGCUUAAGCAACACCCCAGGAGAACCGGCAGAGGAGACACAAGCAGAAGACUAAACGGGCCAGAUGUGGCGCUGACUAAGCGGGCUCCAGCCCGCUGCAAGACGCGCUGUGCAGGAAGGCCCACAGCCGUCCAGGCGCUGUGACGCCAGCCAGAGCUAAAACACAUGGGCGCCAGAUAAGCUGAUGACGAUAGUACACCACGCCAGCGCCUGGAAAGAACCGCCGCCCAAAAGGAAACCUAGGGGGCCUGCACAGGUGAUGCAAGCGUCAGCCGCAAGUUCAACUUCGGUGACCCACCCUGAACCUCCUCCACUUCACAAAGCGCGCCACCCGCCGUCCAGAUGGCAACAAAGUGCUCCAGCUUAGCCGCCUUGAGCUGCGCGGUGAGAAGCUGUGUGGGCAGAGCCGACAGGGUUUCAGGGGUUGGCGUGGCGGCAGUGAAACGCAGCUGCAUCACCCUGCGCAGCUUUUUUUUUUUUGAGGAAGCUCGCUGACCACCUCCCGAACCACAUGCUCCGACGUCUGCUUAGCAGGCUCACGGGACCAGUACGCACACCAGACGGCGUACAAGAAGGUGGCCCGCAAAGUGCUCCACAGCAGCGCGCCCGCCCCCCGCGGGCCUGAGGCCCACAUACCCAUGCGGUCCCCCAGCAUGAAGCCCGCGUCCGUCACUGGCGGCGCCGCUGCCUGGGGCGCAACGCAGGCCCACAGCUGCUGCAGCCACGUCCUCGCCUGCGCAUAAGCUGGACACUCCAGGAAGAUGUGCCUCCUGCAUCUGCACGUCCCCCACGUGGUCAACUAUGUCAACACGGCCCGCCCCGCAGCCAUGCCGUGCCCGGCGCAAACACAGCAGGCGGGGGGUUCGGGGACCCAGCCGGCGGCACAGUCGCGGCUGGCGGAGCGGGAGGCGGCGUGGCAGCGUGCAGCGGCGCAGCUGACCACCACGGCGGCGCAGCAUUUCCACAAUAACCCGGUGGCUCUGGACCCCUGGCUCCACCGCACCUCUGCGGCAGCGGGGCUGCAGAACACGCCGGCGAGAGAACUGCAGUCGUAUGCGUCCCCGUCCCAGCAGUCAGGUGAGGGGCCGCGGCGGUCCGCGCGGCUGCAGGAGCAGGCGGCGGGAGGGGCGGGACCUAGCACGGGGCCUGCCACGGCGGCGGCGGCAGCAGCGGCGGCGGUGGAGGGCGACCCUCGCAUGCCGCCCCCGGAUGCGUCCCUUCUGCGGGGUACGUGGCGGAGGCUGUGGGACAGCCACGCCAGUCGGGGGGCAAAGGUGCUUGUGUACCGGCUGCAACAUGCUUACCUGCCCUGCGGGCUGUACAGGGCGGGCAAGGGCAUUCGGCCACGGGUGACCACGGGGUGCGGGGGGUUGGGGGCGCACUGUCCUCACCCCGCCUGCGGGCCACCUGGCCCGCGGGCGUGGGCCAGCCUGACGCACAUCUUCCUGGAGUGUCCAGCUUAUGCGCAGGCGAGGACGUGGCUGCAGCAGCUGUGGGCCUGCGUUGCGCCCCAAGCAGCGGCGCCGCCAGUGACGGACGCGGGCUUCAUGCUGGGGGACCGCAUGGGUAUGUGGGCCUCAGGCCCGCGGGGGGCGGGCGCGCUGCUGUGGAGCACUUUGCGGGCCACCUUCUUGUACGCCGUCUGGUGUGCGUACUGGUCCCGCGAGCCUGCUAAGCAGACGUCGGAGCAUGUGCUUCGGGAGGUGGUCAGCGAGCUGCGCAGGGUGAUGCAGCUGCGUUUCACUGCCGCCACGCUAACCCCUGAAACCCUGUCGGCUCUGCCCACUCAGCUUCUCACCGCUCAGCUCAAGGCGGCUAAGCUGGAGCACUUUGUUGCCAUCUGGUCGGCGGGUGGCGCGCUUUGUGAAGUGGAGGAGGUUCAGGGUGGGUCACCGAAGUUGAACUUGCGGCUGACGCUUGCAUCACCUGUGCAGGCCCCCUAGGUUUCCUUUUGGGCGGCGGUUCUUUCCAGGCGCUGGCGUGGUGUUUAUCGACAUCAGCUUAUCUGGCGCCCAUGUGUUUUAGCUCUGGCUGGCGUCGCAGCGCCUGGGCGGCUGUGGGACUUCCUGCACAGCGCGUCUUGCAGCUGGCUGGAGCCCGCUUAUAUUAGUCAGCGCCGCAUCUGGCCCGUUUAGUUUUCUGCUUGUGUCUCCUCUGCCGGUUCUCCUGGGGUGUUGCUUAAGCAACCGACUUGUGGGGGUGGGGUGGGUUUGGGCGGGGCGAGUGCGUAGCGCUGGUGUUUCGUUUUCUGGCGCGCGGUGGUGGUGGUUCUUGCGGUUAGGCUGUGGUGUAGGUUGGUGCUUGGGUUAGGUCUGGCGGUGUUUUUGUGCUACCCCUCCCGGGGGGCGGGGGGGCCAGCCUCCUGCUCUGUCUGCCGGGUAGGGGUGGGGUGGGGUAGGAUGGAUGGGGGUGUUUGGUGGCGGUUUUCGAGGUGUUUGCUUUCUGUUUUCUUCUCUUUUCUUCUCUUCUUGCCCUGUCAGGGUUCUGGUCUCGGGGACCAGGCUGCUUUCAGGCAGCAGGGGGGCAGCGCGUCUGCCCCUGUUCAACCUUGUAAGGAUGAUUCCUCAAAAAAAAAAAAACGUUGCCCACGCCGUGACGCCGCCGCGCCAGGGCCACCGCCCGCCCCGUCCUGCCCCCCCAGCGUGACCAGGACCACAACCUGGGAGCCGGUCCGGGGCCAGGGCGACUGCCCCUGGUGCUGCAGCUCCUGCUGCUGCUGUUGCUGUAACCGCCGUUGCCGCUGGAGAUUGAGGUCCGCCAGCUCGGCCAAGUACCGCUGCAUCGCAGCGGUCUGCUCCUGAUCCUGCCCGGCGGCGGCCCGCGGAUCCAAGGGCGGCCGUGGCGCGGGGGUGCCACUGUGCUGCUGCUGCACGCCAGCCGGCCCAGCACCGGCAGGGCGAGCCCUGGCCGCCGGCGGCCCCCCCACGCCUGCCGCCGGCUGGACCCCGCUAAGCCCUCUCGCUGUCACCCGCUGCUGCGAAGAGGGCUGCUGCUGCAGUGCGGCCCGCAGGGCAGCCGCAGCAGCACGGUUGCUUUCCCCCGCCACCAGAACUGGCAGCGGGGGCGGGGCCCCGCUGUGUUUUUUUUUUUGAGGAAUCAUCCUUACAAGGUUGAAACAGGGGCAGACGCACUGCCCCCCUACUGCCCGAAAGCAGCCUGGUCCCCGAGACCAGAACCCUGACAGGGCCCCGCUGGCGCCACCAGCUGCAGCCGCCACGUCACCCAAACCUGCCGCCUCCUGCAUCUGCACGUCCCCCACGUGGUCAACAAUGUCCGCUGCGGUCGCCAUGGCAGCCGCGGGCCUCGCCACACCCAAGGUGUUGCCACCCAGGUCGGCGACCCCAGCUGCAGCCGGAGCAGGGCUGCCUGCCGCAGCUGUCGUGGCCGCCCCAGCCGCCUGGGGGGCGCCACGGACCUCCACCUGCAUGGGCUCCUCACCGGGCAUCUCAAACUUGGCACAGUGCAGGUGAGAGAGCUGCGGGUCCCAGACUGGGCCCCGCACACAGGCAAAGAUGUGGUUGGUGAUGCCCUGGCCUGCGGGGGCCUGGGGCUCCCCCUUGGGGCCCACCGAUUUGGCGCACUGCUCUGAGACCACAUAAGCACACGCCAGGUUAGAGGGGUCCGAGGUGGUGGGAUAGCCACCCGCCUGCAGCACCAAAUCGGUGCGACCGCGGAAAGCCCCCCACACAGGGCCCCCUACCAUCUUGACCGUGACGGUGUAGGUGCCCGGAAUGAUGGGCCGGGUGUCCACUGGCACGUGAACCGUGAGGACAGCCUGACCGCGCUGGAGCGGUACCGCCAGCGGCGACUUGCGCAUGAGCUCCACUGUGAAGGCUGCUUUGCUGGCGCUGGUCACGCGCCGGCUGAAGGCCAGCCCCGCAAACGUGCGGGAGGGGCGGCCUGUGCUGUGCAGAGAGUGGCCCUGCAAGAGCUGCGGCUGGUUGCCCUGCCUGCACAUGGUGUCCAGCACUGACAGGGCAGCACUGGUCACUUCCCGGACGCCAGCUGAGGACAGCUGCUCGCCCUCUGGGAGCCCCGUGGUGGCACCCACCAGAAGGACUGGGUAGGUAGGCAGGCUGGGGCCCUGAGGCUGCGUCGUCAGGUCCUGCACGCCGUGCGCCAGGCUAUGCGUGGACAGGGCAAGGUGGAGCUGCAGCCCGGGGCUGAAGAACGGGCUGGCAGUGUUGCCCCCACCUGCAGGGGUGCUGUCUGCUGCCAAGUCCGGCAGUGGGCGGCGACGCCCAAACGCAGGCCCCCCACACGGCACGGCGUGUGCUGCUGUGGCCGCGCCGUGUGCGGGUGUGCUGUAUGGCUGGUGUUGGCCCCUGGUGUCUUGGCUGCGCUGAGACACCAGGCGGAACCGACCAGGAUCACCCAGCAACUGCAUAGCUGCCCAAGAUCAGCACUCACAGGGCAUCACAGCAGGGCGGGCGCCAGGCAACCAGGCGCCAGGCAACAAGGGCACGAAGACGAGCCACACCCAGAAAAAACAGCCAAGUGCUGCAGGGCUCCCCCGGCCGCCACACCCAAGGCACCCUGCUGCACGCGCGGAUUUUUUGAGGAAUCAUCCUUACAAGGUUGAACAGGGGCAGACGCGCUGCCCCCCUGCUGCCAGAAAGCAGCCUGGUCCCCGAGACCAGAACCCUGACAGGGCAAGAAGAGAAGAAGAGAGAAGAAAACAGAAAGCAAACACCUCGAAAACCGCCACCAAACACCCCAAACCAUCCCACCCCACCCCACCCCGACCCGGCAGACAGAGCAGGAGCGGAUGCAAAUGACCAACCACAAAGGUUGAUACGCCGCCUGCUCCAAGCUGGUGAAGUGUGGUGCUCGCCGAGAUGUUAAAAUGCCGACAAGCAAAAUGUCGCCAACUCCACGGUGACGCUCCUUUUUUUUUUUUUCCUGAACCGCCAGAAUCCUAUUCCAUAGCGAUGUCGAGUUCCAAAGCACAAGCCGGCAUAGGCUGAAAGGCGCUGGAGAGGGAGUGUCACGCUACAGCUGCAAAGUGGACAGACAAAAAACGAGCAAGCCCACAAAUGCAAACUGCUUCACAGUGGUUCGUAGGCCUUCAGAAGCCUAAAACAAACGGAAGCAAGUCAAACAGCGCGAGAGAAAUGACAUCGACUGCUUCAAAGCUGUGCAGAAGGAAAGGAGGAUGCAAGAAAAGCAAGAGAAGAGAGUAAAGUAAAGUAAAGUAAAGUAAAGUAAAGUGGAGCUCCUGCAGCCGCGCGGAACGCCGUGGCCCCUCACCCGACUGCUGGGACGGGGACGCAUACGACUGCAGUUCUCUCGCUGGCGUGUUCUGCUGCCCGGCUGCCGCGGAGGUGCGGUGGAGCCAGGGGUUGUCACGCCCUGACGUGUGACCGUGCAUGCCGUGUCACCGCAUGGUGUUUUCACGCAUCACUUAGCAUGAUUGCCACUUAGAGGGACAAAACCCUGACUCAGAACUAGGUGGCGGGUUUUGUGUUAGGACGUGUGUCACUUCCCACGUCAGUGUGUUACGUGAUCUGGGCGUAUCUCCACGCGUCUCCAUGUUAGAACGGUACAAGAUGGGGUGAAUUACCUGUUAGCAACACGGCGUUGCUGAGCAUUGUGUGGGUUCGUGGACGUUCGUAAGUCAGACCAGUAGCGCCCCGGAGCUGCAUCAUGGGCGCGCUGGCGGCCCUUUUAGUGGGCGCCGGAGCUCAAACUUGCUUGUCAAUGUUUGAGCUACUUGAUUUAUCACUUAGCGAUUCCAGAACAUCUGACCACCGGUACACAGAAGCCGCCUGAAGGCUACAAAGUGUAAACAACAUUCGUGAGAGGCAUCCUGAGCCACACGACCCGCCUGUUCUGCUAGCCGUCGAGCAAGGGGCUACAAGCAGACCUUAGCUCAAACAUUGACCGCUCACAAAGUGAGCCGGGGCUCGCUCACGAAGUGAGCUAUCGCCUUGCUCCCGCACCGGUCACGAACUUUGAGCACCCAGUAAGCACUCAGGUAACAACUAGUAACAAAGGGCAAAGCCCCAAGUCAGCAGCCAAGGUUAGCGUCAUACGAGCGCCGGGCCCUUUGGUCAAGUUCAUGCGCGCUACUCCCUUGCUGCUAAGUGCCGUCAGCGACCAGCUUCGACUGAUGCCGUGCUUUGGAACUCGUUAGCUCGCCUGCCCGAGCAAAAUUGCCAGCGAUUGGAGUGAAGAGGGAGUUUACGAGAAACAGCAAGCAGCGAUUGGCCAUCCUGACUCGCCGUUUCCGCACUUCAAGUCACUGACCUAAAUCGCUGUGCUCCGUCCUAUUUUGCCUUUACUUGCCGCGCAGUGAGUGGACGCUACAACGACUCUUACUCGCACCGCGAGGAGUCAGCGUCCGCCCGCCGGCAAGGGGAAGCUGACCGUUUCGGUGCCGAAGGCCCGACCGCUCCACCGCGAAGUGGCCGCGGAGGCGGCUAUCCCGGCUACACCUCUGACGCAAAGCGCCAGCACCAGGUCACCAAAGGUGGCGCUGCCCGUUUCCCUGAGCGCUCCCAGCCGCAAAGCGGCUACGACCGGGACCGUGACGCCAGCCGCAGCCACUUAGGAGGCAGCGAACGCGAACGCAGCAGGGAGCGCAGCAACGUCCACAACCACGACCGCGAGCGCCCACGCAGCGCAGAGUGCCGCCGCAGCCCUGACCGGCGCGAGUACGACCGCAGCCGCCACGCGCCGCACAGUGGCGCCCAGGCCUGGCAGUACGACCCCGCAGUUCACGGCCCCCCGGAACCCCUGAGCCCUGCCCGCGGUCAGGACCCGGUGAAGCACAUCGCCUGGCUGCAGCAGGCGGUCCAGUGGCACAAGCACGAGGUCCGCACAUCCAACCAGGAGUGCAGCAGGCUGCACGGGCUGCUCUCAGAUCUGCAGUUUCAGCUGCAGCGCAAGCAGGAGGCCAUUGACGAGCUGCAGAACAGGGUCCACCCCCUGGAGCAUCAGCUGCAGCUCAAGACCACUGAGAGCGCGCUGCUCCAGUCAGCCAGCUCCCUUCAGCAGCAGCUGCAGGCCACGAGCGCCAAGGGCGAGCCGCCGCAGUCCGUGCCGCAGCGUGCUCAGCAGCAGGAGACUCCCAAGCCGUCGCUGCUCGCUUCGGGCCGCCUCGCGUUCUCUCCCCGCGCCGCAGAGCCCGAAGGGCCCGACGGCGGAGAGGCGGUGACAGACCAGGAGGAGGAGUGCGACGUGGCGUGCGUCUGCGGCUGCGACCCCUGCGCCUGCUUCGACGCCGCCCCCUCCGAUGGCAGCAACGGUGCUGCGGCCGGUGAGCUAGCGGGCAGCCAGCCACUUUACUUUACUUUACUUUACUUUACUUUACUCUCUUCUCUUGCUAUCCUUGCAUCCUCUUUUCCUUCUGCACAGCUUUGAAACAGUCGACGUCAUUUCUCUCGCGCUGUUUGACUUGCUUCCUUUUGUUUUAGGCUUCUUAAGGCCUACGAACCACUGUGAAGCAGUUUGCAUUUGUGGGCGUCCUCGCUUUUCGUCAGUCCACUUUGCAGCUGUAGCGCGACACUCCCUCUCCAGCGCCCUUCAGCCUAUGCCGGCUUGUGCUUUGGAACUCGACACCGCUAUGGAAUAGGAUUCUGGCGGUCCAGGAGCGUCGCCGUGGAGUUGGCGACAUUUCGCUUGUCAGCAUUUUAACAUCUCGGCGAGCACCACACUUCACCAGCUUGGAGCAGGCGGCGUAUCAACCUUUGUGGUUGGUCAUUUGCAUCCGCGUGUGCAGCAGGGUGCUUUGGGUGUGGCGGUCGGGGGAGCCCGCCAGUUCUGGUGGCGGGGGGAAGCAACCGUGCUGCUGCGGCUGCCCUGCGGGCCGUGCUGCAGCAGCAGCCCUCUUCGCAGCAGCGGGUGGCAGUGGGAGGGCUUAGCGGGGUCCAGCCGGCGGCAGGCGUGGGGGGGCCGCCGGCGGCCAGGCCUCGCCCUGCCGGUGCUGGGCCGGCUGGCGUGCAGCAGCAGCACAGUGGCGCUCCCGCGCCACGGCCGCCCUUGGAUCCGCGGGCCGCCGCCGGGCAGGAUCAGGAGCAGUCCGCUGUGAUGCGGCGGUACUUGGCCGAGCUGGCGGACCUCAAUCUCCAGCAGAAACGGCGGUUACAGCAACAGCAGCAGCAGGAACUGCAGCGCCAGGGGCAGUCGCCCAGGCCCCGGACCGGCUCCCAGGUUGUGGUCCUGGCCACGCGGGGGGGGCAGGACGGGGCGGGCGGUGGCCCUGGCGCGGCGGCAUCACGGCGUGGGCAAUGUAUUGACAUAGUUGACCACGUGGGGGACGUGCAGAUGCAGGAGGCGGCGGGUGUGGGUGACGCAGCGGCUGCCACUGGUGGCGCCCGCGGACCACCCGCCGUGGCCUCGCCCUCGCUGCCAGCUCUGGUGGCGGGGGGAAGCACCCGUGCUGCUGCGGCUCCCCUGAGGGCCGAGCGACAGCAGCAGCCCUCUUCACAGCAGCGGGUGGCAGCGGGAGGGCUUAGCGGGGGGCAGCCGUCGGCAGGCGUUGGGGGGCCGCCGGCGGCCAGGCGUCGCACUGCCGAUGCUGGGCCGGCUGGCGUGCAGCAGCAGCCCAGUGGGGCUCCCGCGGCACAGCCGCCCUUUGAUCAGCGGGCAGCCGCCAGGCAGGAUAAGCAGCUGGCAGCUGCGAUGCAGCGGUACUUGGCCUACAUGGCGGACCUCCAUCUCCAGCAGCAACGGCGGGUACAGCAACAGCAGCAGCAGGAGCAGCAGCGCCAGGUGCAGCCGCCCAGGCCCCGGACCGGCUCCCGCUUUGGGGUCCUGGCCACGCUGGGGGGACAGGACGGGGCGGGCGAUGGCACGGCCACGGCGGCGUCCGGGCGUGGGCGACGGGUGCAACCAGCCGCGCACGCACCGCCGCCGCCGCCGCCGCAGCAACAGCCCAGCUCCAAAGGGCGCUGUGGCCCCGCCCAGCUUCCGCAGCAGAGGGCAGGGUGCUUGGGCGGGGGGCUGCCUCCCCCGCAGGACGGUGAUAGCGCGCCGCCGCACGUGCCCACUGGGCGGCCGGCCGGGGGACAGCAGGCUGGUGGGGGCAGCGGGUCGGGGCGCCAGGGUGGAGGAGCGGGGCGGGCAGUGCCCCAGGCGCCGCCCCAGGCGGGGCCGCCACUGCAGACGUCACAACCGGCGGGUGGUGGUAAGGACAGGGGCAGGGGCCUGGGCGCGCCGGCUGGGGUUUCGGCCGACACGGCUGGGCGCGCUGGUGGGGGUGUGGGCAGUGAGGCGGAGUACGGGGCCGUUUGCCUGACCCGGGACACGUGUGUUGCCAUCGGCUCUGACCUCGUGACGCACCAGAACCGCUGCGCAGAUGUGCAGGGGUAUGAGUGGACGCAGCUUGGCCGCGAUGCGCUUGGUGGCCGCCUCCUCGCCUACCUCCGUGACCAGGGCGCCACCGUACCGGACUGGGCCGUCUGCCGCGUGCCGGCCGGCCGUACCGCCGUCCUGGCACAGCUGCACGACGAGUUCACUGGCUGGUGGCGCCUAUACUCAGCCCAGCCUGCAGACACGCCCCUGCCUUCCGACGUGACGGAGCAGCUGGAUGACGCCGCGCAGCAGGUGCAGACGGCCUACAUGGACUACGUGCUCCUAGACGCCCGCACCCUGCGGUCCGCUAAGCGUGGGCCGGCGGACCCCGGCGGGGCCAGCGGGCCCAGCCGCCGGCAACGCCAGCACCGCAGCCGCAGUACCUCCAGCCUCAUGAGCCUGGGCAGCGCUCCAUUGCGCCCUGGCGGCGGUUUUCGAGGUGUUUGCUUUCUGUUUUUCUUCUCUUUUCUUUUUUUUUUUGAGGAAUCAUCCNNNNNNNNNNNNNNNNNNNNNNNNNNNNNNNNNNNNNNNNNNNNNNNNNNNNNNNNNNNNNNNNNNNNNNNNNNNNNNNNNNNNNNNNNNNNNNNNNNNNGCAGGAGGCUGGCCCCCCCGCCCCCCGGGAGGGGUUGCACAAAAAACACCGCCAGACCUAACCCAAGCACCAACCUACACCACAGCCUAACCGCAAGAACCACCACCACCGCGCGCCAGAAAGGAAAUCACCAGUGCUACCAUCACUCGACCCGCCGUAACCCACCCCACCCCCACAAGUCGGUUGCUUUAGCAACACCCCAGGAGAACUGGCAGGGGAGACACAAGCAGAAAACUAAACGGGCCAGAUGUGGCGCUGACUAAUCGGGCUCCAGCCCGCUGCAAGACGCGCUGUGCAGGAAGGCCCACAGCCGCCCAGGCGCUGCCACUCCAGCCAGAGCUAUGACACAUGGGGCGCCAGAUAAGCUGAUGACGAUAAUACGCCACGCCAGCGCCUGGAAAGAAACGCCGCCCAAAAGGAAACCUAGGGGGCCUGCACAGGGGAUGCAAGCGUCAGCCGCAAGUGCAACUUCGGUGACCCACCCUGAACCUCCUCCACUUCACAAACCUCCUCCACUUCUUCUCUUCUUGCCCUGUCAGGGUUCUGGUCUCGGGGACCAGGCUGUCUUCAGGCAGCAGGGGGGCAGCGCGUCUGCCCCUGUUCAACCUUGUAAGGAUGAUUCCUCAAAAAAAAAAAAGCUCAGGCGCCGCUAGCAUGAGCACCAGCAGCGGCGGCGCGCCCCCCAGCCAGGGUGGCGGCCGCCGCGGCAAACGCCACAGCAGCAACAGCAACCGCAACCGCCACGGCGCUGCCGUGGCCGGCGGGGGCUCAUAAUGCGGCCACCAGUGGGAGCGGCGAACCUUCGGCUGCUGACAGUGAAUGUCAACGGCCUGGGCUCGCCGUUCAAGGCGCGGGCGCUGGUCUCGCACCUGCAGCAAGUUGGGGCGGAUGUGGCGAUGGUGCAGGAGACCCACGCUACUGACACGACGGCGCUGGAGUCUUGCCUUCGUGCCGCGCAGGGGGCGUGCCUUCCGUGGCGCCACUGCCUUGCUGCCAGCCCGGCAGCGUCGCCCCACUCCUGUGGGGCGGCUAUCCUGGCGCGGAGUCGGCUGUCCCUUCCAGGCUGCGUACUGCAGCCGCCGUCAACGGAUGCGGCGGGCCGUGUGGUAUGUUGGGAUUGGGACGUGGGUCACUUGCGCCUGCGCUUCGUGUGUGUGUAUGCGCCCACGGCCGUGGCGGACAAGCCUGCUUUCUUUGCCGGGCUGCAUCCCCACCUGGCCACGGACAGGGUGCUUGUUGUCGGUGGGGACUGGAACUGUGUCACCGAUGCCAGUCAGGAGGCGGCCCCUAGCCCGUCACGUGCUGCAGGUGCCCCGCAACUUGCCAGCCUCCUCGCCCAGUUCAGUCUGGUGGACCCUUGGGCGAGCAAGCGUGGCGGCGCUAAGGGCUACACGCAUCCGGCCACGCCCAAGCCGGCCACUCCCGCACGCCUGGAUCGGUGGUAUGUCAGUGCCACCGCGGGGCCGUGGGUGGUGGAUGUCGCUCGCACGUAUGGGGCGCCUGGGGACCACAACGGUGUGCUGCUCACCCUGUCCUUGCCCGACCUGCCACAUGCGCACCGGGAGCAGUGGCGCUUCCCCACAUACCUGCUGUUUCACCCCUCGCUGCGUUUGGAGCUCGAGCAGCGCUUGGAGGCGCACGUUGCCGCAAAUCCCGUGGCCAGUACAGGUGACGGCGCUUGCACGCAAUGGGAGGCGGACAAGUUCUUCUUGCGGGAGGCCGCCACCAGCAUCCACCGUCGGCAUGCACGCCAGACCCGGGAUGGGCUGCAUGGCGUGGUGCUGGCCGCAGACGCGGCCGCUGCCCUGGCCGACCGGCCGGGUGCCAGCGCCGCACAGCGUCAGGCUGCGGCCAUGGCCAACUUGGCGGUGCGGGAGGAGCGGGCAGCUGCCGCAGCGGCCAGCCACAAUGCCCGCGCUGCACUGAUGGAGGAGCAUGGGGAGCGGGGCACUCGCUGGUUCCAUCGGCAGGCUGAUGAGCCAGCAGCCGGCGCGCAGGAGCCCAUCACACACUUGAAGGUGCCGGGGCAACUGUGGCGCUCACGGGGCCGGGCACGCGCAACACUGUCUCCGCAGCCGCUGCAGCCAUGUACAGCAGCACCAGCCCCACCGGCCUGUUCCGCGUGCAGCCGGUCUGUACGGCGUCGCAGCAACAGCUUCUGGCGGCCAUUGACCGCAAGGUUCCAGCUGAUCUGCAGGCCGCCGCAGAGGGGUCCGGUGACGGCGCCCUCAGUGAUGCCGAGCUGAUGGCAGCGCUGGCUGGCUCCGCCAAUGGUAAAGCGCCUGGGUCGGACGGGGUCCCGUACGAGGUGUACAAGGUUUUCUGGGCGCUGCUGGGUCCGCGCUUGUGUGCUGCUGCUGCCGCUGCCUUUGCUGCCGCUGCAGACGCCCACGAUGGCGGCAAAAUGGCGGCGGCGCUGCCCGCCUCCUGGCGGGAGGGCAUCAUCACGCUCAUCUACAAGGGCAAAAGCCUGGACCGCGCCGAGCUGGCGUCCUACCGGCCCAUCACGCUGCUCAACUGCGACUUCAAGAUGGUGUCCAAGGCCGUCAGCGCCCGCCUGCAGCCCGCCCUGGAUGCAGUUGUGGAUGAGCUGCAGACCGCGUUCAUCACCGGCCGCUGGAUUGGAGACAACGCGCUGUACCUCCAAGGCCUGAUCGAAUGGAUGCGCCUGGACGUGGGCGCGGACGGCACGCCACGGCAGGGUGGUGCGCUGUACUUCUUGGACAUUGAAAAGGCGUAUGACCGGGUGCACCGGCAGUGGCUGUAUGCGUCCGCAGAGGGACUGGGGUUUGGGCCGCGCAUGCUGCGCUGGAUCCGCCUGCUCACUGCCAACGGCUCUGCCCGCGUGUGUGUGAACGGGAUGCUCUCUGACGCCUUCCCAGUGCUGAACGGCUUGCCGCAGGGCAGCACCGCCUCACCACCCCUGUGGGUCAUCCAGAUGCAGCCACUGACGUCCUUUCUGCGGCGGCAGGUGGAGCAAGGGGCACUGCGCACGCCCCUGUUACCCAGCGGCGAGCAGGUGCCACCUGCUGCCCACCACGCUGACGACACGACCCUCACGGCGCGCGACCCGGCGGUGGACGGGCCGGUCCUGAUGGCGGCAGUACAGCUGUUCUGCCGCGCGUCCAACGCCCGUGUCCAUCCGGACAAGAGCAAGGCCAUGGGCCUUGGCAGGUUUGCGCACCUGACGGGCCCUUGCCCACACACGGGGGUGCCGUUUACCACCUGCGCCGUGACGCACCUGGGUGUGCCUCUGUCGUGGGACUCUGAUGCGGCUGCAGCUGACCUGUUCACCCGGCGGGCUCGCGGCAUGGCGUUUGUGGCGCGUCUGUGGGCUGCCCUGUCUCUGACCCUGGUUGGCCGUGUGCACAUUGCGAAGCAGGUGCUGGCGGCGAAGCUAAGACUUUCGCCCUGCUUGCCCAGCCAGGCCGGCAACCCUGGAAGAUGCUCACCCGGGCGCUGCUUACUCAUGUGCGCCCGGACUCUGCCACCACGUGGGCGUGGGUGUACAGCGACGCGCCGGUGCCAGCGGGGCUGCCUGCCCGGCUGGCGGCCGCGGUCGGCCACGUGCGGAGCGCGGGCGUGGAACAGCAUCCGCCGCAGCCAGCCACUCAGCCGCCAGCGGUGCCGCCACAGUGGCGGGUUAGCCUGGACCAGCGGUGGGUGGCUAACGCUGCGGGGGCUGUGUCCUACGUCCACUACACGGGGCGGCUCUUGGAGCCUGGGCCUGGCGUGCUGCCCCCGGCAGUGGAUGGGGCGUGGCAGCCUGCCUGUGUGCUGCAGCAUCGCAAGCCGCGGCACCUGUGGACCUUUGAAGAGCGGGCGGCGUACGAUGCAGCAUCACCAGGGGACCGGGCGGGGGCGUGGCCUCGGGCGCCGUACUUCCUGGCGCCGGAGGCUGGGGUGGUGGUGCACCCGGAGCACUGCCGGAUUGCGGGUGUCAGCUUGGCGGACUACACGGUGCGGGACGUGCGGCGGGCCAUCACCGCGGCCAACCCGGCCGCACCGCCGGUUCCGGCCCGCCCCGCAGCCAUGCCGUGCCCGGCGCCAGCACAGCAGGCGGGGGAUUCGGGGCCCCAGCCGGCGGCACAGUCGCGGCUGGCGGAGCGGGAGGCGGAGUGGCAGCGUGCAGCGGCGCAGCUGACCACCACGGCGGCGCAGCACUUCCACAAUAACCCGGUGGCUCUGGACCCCUGGCUCCACCGCACCUCCGCGGCAGCCGGGCAGCAGAACACGCCGGCGCGAGAACUGCAGUCGUAUGCGUCCCCGUCCCAGCAGUCGGGUGAGGGGCCACGGCGUUCCGCGCGGCUGCAGGAGCAAAAAAAAAAAAAAAGGCGGCGGGCGGGGCGGGGCCUAGCACGGGGCCUGCCACGGCGGCGGCGGCAGCAGCGGCGGCGGUGGAGGGCGACCCUCGCAUGCCGCCCCCGGAUGCGUCCCUUCUGCGGGGUACGUGGCGGAGGCUGUGGGACAGCCACGCUAGUCGGGGGGCAAAGGUGCUGGUGUACCGGCUGCAACAUGCUUACCUGCCUUGCGGGCUGUACAGGGCGGGCAAGGGAAUUCGUCCACGGGUGACCACGGGGUGCGGGGGAUUGGGGGCGCACUGUCCUCACCCCGCCUGCGGGCCACCUGGCCCGCGGGCGUGGGCCAGCCUGACGCACAUCUUCCUGGAGUGUCCAGCUUAUGCGCAGGCGAGGACGUGGCUGCAGCAGCUGUGGGCCUGCGUUGCGCCCCAGGCAGCGGCGCCGCCAGUGACGGACGCGGGCUUCAUGCUGGGGGACCGCAUGGGUGUGUGGGCAUCAGGCCCGCGGGGAGCGGGAGCGCUGCUGUGGAGCACUUUGCGGGCCACCUUCUUGUACGCCGUCUGGUGUGCGUACUGGUCCCGCGAGCCUGCUAAGCAGACAUUCCUCAAAAAAAAGACGUCGGAGCAUGUGGUUCGGGAGGUGGUCAGCGAGCUGCGCAGGGUGAUGCAGCUGCGUUUCACUGCCGCCACGCUAACCCCUGAAACCCUGUCGGCUCUGCCCACACAGCUUCUCACCGCACAGCUCAAGGCGGCUAAGCUGGAGCACUUUGUUGCCAUCUGGACGGCGGGUGGCGCGCUUUGUGAAGUGGAGGAGGUUCAGGGUGGGUCACCGAAGUUGAACUUGCGGCUGACGCUUGCAUCACCUGUGCAGGCCCCCUAGGUUUCCUUUUGGGCGGCGUUUCUUUCCAGGCGCUGGCGUGGCGUAUUAUCGUCAUCAGCUUAUCUGGCGCCCAUGUGUUUUAGCUCUGGCUGGCGUCGCAGUACUGGUCCCGCGAGCCUGCUAAGCAGACGUCGGAGCAUGUGGUUCGGGAGGUGGUCAGCGAGCUGCGCAGGGUGAUGCAGCUGCGUUUCACUGCCGCCACGCUAACCCCUGAAACCCUGUCGGCUCUGCCCACACAGCUUCUCACCGCACAGCUCAAGGCGGCUAAGCUGGAGCACUUUGUUGCCAUCUGGACGGCGGGUGGCGCGCUUUGUGAAGUGGAGGAGGUUCAGGGUGGGUCACCGAAGUUGAACUUGCGGCUGACGCUUGCAUCACCUGUGCAGGCCCCCUAGGUUUCCUUUUGGGCGGCGUUUCUUUCCAGGCGCUGGCGUGGCGUAUUAUCGUCAUCAGCUUAUCUGGCGCCCAUGUGUUUUAGCUCUGGCUGGCGUCGCAGCGCCUGGGCGGCUGUGGGCCUUCCUGCACAGCGCGUCUUGCAGCGGGCUGGAGCCCGCUUAGUCAGCGCCACAUCUGGCCCGUUUAGUUUUCUGCUUGUGUCUCCUCUGCCGGCUCUCCUGGGGUGUUGCUUAAGCAACCGACUUGUGGUGGUGGGGUGGGUUUGGGCGGGGCGAGUGCGUAGCGCUGGUGUUUUCUUUGCUGGCGCNNNNNNNNNNNNNNNNNNNNNNNNNNNNNNNNNNNNNNNNNNNNNNNNNNNNNNNNNNNNNNNNNNNNNNNNNNNNNNNNNNNNNNNNNNNNNNNNNNNNNNNNNNNNNNNNNNNNNNNNNNNNNNNNNNNNNNNNNNNNNNNNNNNNNNNNNNNNNNNNNNNNNNNNNNNNNNNNNNNNNNNNNNNNNNNNNNNNNNNNNNNNNNNNNNNNNNNNNNNNNNNNNNNNNNNNNNNNNNNNNNNNNNNNNNNNNNNNNNNNNNNNNNNNNNNNNNNNNNNNNNNNNNNNNNNNNNNNNNNNNNNNNNNNNNNNNNNNNNNNNNNNNNNNNNNNNNNNNNNNNNNNNNNNNNNNNNNNNNNNNNNNNNNNNNNNNNNNNNNNNNNNNNNNNNNNNNNNNNNNNNNNNNNNNNNNNNNNNNNNNNNNNNNNNNNNNNNNNNNNNNNNNNNNNNNNNNNNNNNNNNNNNNNNNNNNNNNNNNNNNNNNNNNNNNNNNNNNNNNNNNNNNNNNNNNNNNNNNNNNNNNNNNNNNNNNNNNNNNNNNNNNNNNNNNNNNNNNNNNNNNNNNNNNNNNNNNNNNNNNNNNNNNNNNNNNNNNNNNNNNAACGGCCUGGGCUCGCCGUUCAAGGCGCGGGCGCUGGUCUCGCACCUGCAGCAAGUUGGGGCGGAUGUGGCGAUGGUGCAGGAGACCCACGCUACUGACACGACGGCGCUGGAGUCUUGCCUUCGUGCCGCGCAGGGGGCGUGCCUUCCGUGGCGCCACUGCCCUUGCUGCCAGCCCGGCAGCGUCGCCCCACUCCUGUGGGGCGGCUAUCCUGGCGCGGAGUCGGCUGUCCCUUCCAGGCUGCGUACUGCAGCCGCCGUCAACGGAUGCGGCGGGCCGUGUGGUAUGUUGGGAUUGGGACGUGGGUCACUUGCGCCUGCGCUUCGUGUGUGUGUAUGCGCCCACGGCCGUGGCGGACAAGCCUGCUUUCUUUGCCGGGCUGCAUCCCCACCUGGCCACGGACAGGGUGCUUGUUGUCGGUGGGGACUGGAACUGUGUCACCGAUGCCAGUCAGGAGGCGGCCCCUAGCCCGUCACGUGCUGCAGGUGCCCCGCAACUUGCCAGCCUCCUCGCCCAGUUCAGUCUGGUGGACCCUUGGGCGAGCAAGCGUGGCGGCGCUAAGGGCUACACGCAUCCGGCCACGCCCAAGCCGGCCACUCCCGCACGCCUGGAUCGGUGGUAUGUCAGUGCCACCGCGGGGCCGUGGGUGGUGGAUGUCGCUCGCACGUAUGGGGCGCCUGGGGACCACAACGGUGUGCUGCUCACCCUGUCCUUGCCCGACCUGCCACAUGCGCACCGGGAGCAGUGGCGCUUCCCCACAUACCUGCUGUUUCACCCCUCGCUGCGUUUGGAGCUCGAGCAGCGCUUGGAGGCGCACGUUGCCGCAAAUCCCGUGGCCAGUACAGGUGACGGCGCUUGCACGCAAUGGGAGGCGGACAAGUUCUUCUUGCGGGAGGCCGCCACCAGCAUCCACCGUCGGCAUGCACGCCAGACCCGGGAUGGGCUGCAUGGCGUGGUGCUGGCCGCAGACGCGGCCGCUGCCCUGGCCGACCGGCCGGGUGCCAGCGCCGCACAGCGUCAGGCUGCGGCCAUGGCCAACUUGGCGGUGCGGGAGGAGCGGGCAGCUGCCGCAGCGGCCAGCCACAAUGCCCGCGCUGCACUGAUGGAGGAGCAUGGGGAGCGGGGCACUCGCUGGUUCCAUCGGCAGGCUGAUGAGCCAGCAGCCGGCGCGCAGGAGCCCAUCACACACUUGAAGGUGCCGGGGCAACUGUGGCGCUCACGGGGCCGGGCACGCGCAACACUGUCUCCGCAGCCGCUGCAGCCAUGUACAGCAGCACCAGCCCCACCGGCCUGUUCCGCGUGCAGCCGGUCUGUACGGCGUCGCAGCAACAGCUUCUGGCGGCCAUUGACCGCAAGGUUCCAGCGGAUCUGCAGGCCGCCGCAGAGGGGUCCGGUGACGGCGCCCUCAGUGAUGCCGAGCUGAUGGCAGCGCUGGCUGGCUCCGCCAAUGGUAAAGCGCCUGGGUCGGACGGGGUCCCGUACGAGGUGUACAAGGUUUUCUGGGCGCUGCUGGGUCCGCGCUUGUGUGCUGCUGCUGCCGCUGCCUUUGCUGCCGCUGCAGACGCCCACGAUGGCGGCAAAAUGGCGGCGGCGCUGCCCGCCUCCUGGCGGGAGGGCAUCAUCACCCUCAUCUACAAGGGCAAAAGCCUGGACCGCGCCGAGCUGGCGUCCUACCGGCCCAUCACGCUGCUCAACUGCGACUUCAAGAUGGUGUCCAAGGCCGUCAGCGCCCGCCUGCAGCCCGCCCUGGAUGCAGUUGUGGAUGAGCUGCAGACCGCGUUCAUCACCGGCCGCUGGAUUGGAGACAAUGCGCUGUACCUCCAAGGCCUGAUCGAAUGGAUGCGCCUGGACGUGGGCGCGGACGGCACGCCACGGCAGGGUGGUGCGCUGUACUUCUUGGACAUUGAAAAGGCGUAUGACCGGGUGCACCGGCAGUGGCUGUAUGCGUCCGCAGAGGGACUGGGGUUUGGGCCGCGCAUGCUGCGCUGGAUCCGCCUGCUCACUGCCAACGGCUCUGCCCGCGUGUGUGUGAACGGGAUGCUCUCUGACGCCUUCCCAGUGCUGAACGGCUUGCCGCAGGGCAGCACCGCCUCACCACCCCUGUGGGUCAUCCAGAUGCAGCCACUGACGUCCUUUCUGCGGCGGCAGGUGGAGCAAGGGGCACUGCGCACGCCCCUGUUACCCAGCGGCGAGCAGGCGCCACCUGCUGCCCACCACGCUGACGACACGACCCUCACGGCGCGCGACCCGGCGGUGGACGGGCCGGUCCUGAUGGCGGCAGUACAGCUGUUCUGCCGCGCGUCCAACGCCCGUGUCCAUCCGGACAAGAGCAAGGCCAUGGGCCUUGGCAGGUUUGCGCACCUGACGGGCCCUUGCCCACACACGGGGGUGCCGUUUACCACCUGCGCCGUGACGCACCUGGGUGUGCCUCUGUCGUGGGACUCUGAUGCGGCUGCAGCUGACCUGUUCACCCGGCGGGCUCGCGGCAUGGCGUUUGUGGCGCGUCUGUGGGCUGCCCUGUCUCUGACCCUGGUUGGCCGUGUGCACAUUGCGAAGCAGGUGCUGGCGGCGAAGCUGGCCUACCACUUCAGCUUCCUCAACCCAUCGCCUGCGCAGCUGAAGGAACUCACCGACCUGGUGGACCACUUUGCUGCGCGCUCCGUGCACGCUGAGGAUGCCAGCCUGGUGUCGCACGGGAACCCGCUCCUGCUGCCAAAGCGGGAGACGGCCUGUCUGCCGUACAAGGAUGGGGGUGUCAACCAUGUCGACCUGCCUGCGUUCCUGUCUGCCCUGCAAGCUAAGACUUUCGCCCUGCUUGCCCAGCCAGGCCGGCAACCCUGGAAGAUGCUCACCCGGGCGCUGCUUACUCAUGUGCGCCCGGACUCUGCCACCACGUGGGCGUGGGUGUACAGCGACGCGCCGGUGCCAGCGGGGCUGCCUGCCCGGCUGGCGGCCGCGGUCGGCCACGUGCGGAGCGCGGGCGUGGAACAGCAUCCGCCGCAGCCAGCCACUCAGCCGCCAGCGGUGCCGCCACAGUGGCGGGUUAGCCUGGACCAGCGGUGGGUGGCUAACGCUGCGGGGGCUGUGUCCUACGUCCAAUACACGGGGCGGCUCUUGGAGCCUGGGCCUGGCGUGCUGCCCCCGGCAGUGGAUGGGGCGUGGCAGCCUGCCUGUGUGCUGCAGCAUCGCAAGCCGCGGCACCUGUGGACCUUUGAAGAGCGGGCGGCGUACGAUGCAGCAUCACCAGGGGACCGGGCGGGGGCGUGGCCUCGGGCGCCGUACUUCCUGGCGCCGGAGGCUGGGGUGGUGGUGCACCCGGAGCACUGCCGGAUUGCGGGUGUCAGCUUGGCGGACUACACGGUGCGGGACGUGCGGCGGGCCAUCACCGCGGCCAACCCGGCCGCACCGCCGGUUCCGGCCCGCCCCGCAGCCAUGCCGUGCCCGGCGCCAGCACAGCAGGCGGGGGAUUCGGGGCCCCAGCCGGCGGCACAGUCGCGGCUGGCGGAGCGGGAGGCGGAAUGGCAGCGUGCAGCGGCGCAGCUGACCACCACGGCGGCGCAGCACUUCCACAAUAACCCGGUGGCUCUGGACCCCUGGCUCCACCGCACCUCCGCGGCAGCCGGGCAGCAGAACACGCCGGCGCGAGAACUGCAGUCGUAUGCGUCCCCGUCCCAGCAGUCGGGUGAGGGGCCACGGCGUUCCGCGCGGCUGCAGGAGCAGGCGGCGGGCGGGGCGGGGCCUAGCACGGGGCCUGCCACGGCGGCGGCGGCAGCAGCGGCGGCGGUGGAGGGCGACCCUCGCAUGCCGCCCCCGGAUGCGUCCCUUGUGCGGGGUACGUGGCGGAGGCUGUGGGACAGCCACACUAGUCGGGGGGCAAAGGUGCUGGUGUACCGGCUGCAACAUGCUUACCUGCCUUGCGGGCUGUACAGGGCGGGCAAGGGAAUUCGUCCACGGGUGACCACGGGGUGCGGGGGAUUGGGGGCGCACUGUCCUCACCCCGCCUGCGGGCCACCUGGCCCGCGGGCGUGGGCCAGCCUGACGCACAUCUUCCUGGAGUGUCCAGCUUAUGCGCAGGCGAGGACGUGGCUGCAGCAGCUGUGGGCCUGCGUUGCGCCCCAGGCAGCGGCGCCGCCAGUGACGGACGCGGGCUUCAUGCUGGGGGACCGCAUGGGUGUGUGGGCAUCAGGCCCGCGGGGAGCGGGAGCGCUGCUGUGGAGCACUUUGCGGGCCACCUUCUUGUACGCCGUCUGGUGUGCGUACUGGUCCCGCGAGCCUGCUAAGCAGACAUUCCUCAAAAAAAAGACGUCGGAGCAUGUGGUUCGGGAGGUGGUCAGCGAGCUGCGCAGGGUGAUGCAGCUGCGUUUCACUGCCGCCACGCUAACCCCUGAAACCCUGUCGGCUCUGCCCACACAGCUUCUCACCGCACAGCUCAAGGCGGCUAAGCUGGAGCACUUUGUUGCCAUCUGGACGGCGGGUGGCGCGCUUUGUGAAGUGGAGGAGGUUCAGGGUGGGUCACCGAAGUUGAACUUGCGGCUGACGCUUGCAUCACCUGUGCAGGCCCCCUAGGUUUCCUUUUGGGCGGCGUUUCUUUCCAGGCGCUGGCGUGGCGUAUUAUCGUCAUCAGCUUAUCUGGCGCCCAUGUGUUUUAGCUCUGGCUGGCGUCGCAGCGCCUGGGCGGCUGUGGGCCUUCCUGCACAGCGCGUCUUGCAGCGGGCUGGAGCCCGCUUAGUCAGCGCCACAUCUGGCCCGUUUAGUUUUCUGCUUGUGUCUCCUCUGCCGGCUCUCCUGGGGUGUUGCUUAAGCAACCGACUUGUGGUGGUGGGGUGGGUUUGGGCGGGGCGAGUGCGUAGCGCUGGUGUUUUCUUUGCUGGCGCGCGGUGGUGGUGGUUCUUGCGGUUAGGCUGUGGUGUAGGUUGGUGCUUGGGUUAGGUCUGGCGGUGUUUUUGUGCAACCUCUCCCGGGGGGCGGGGGGGCCAGCCUCCUGCUCUGUCUGCCGGGUCGGGGUGGGGUGGGGUGGGAUGGGUGGGGGUGGUUGUUGGCGGUUUUCGAGGUGUUUGCUUUCUGUUUUUCUUCUCUUUUCUUCUCUUCUUGCCCUGUCAGGGUUCUGGUCUCGGGGACCAGGCUGUCUUCAGGCAGCAGGGGGGCAGCGCGUCUGCCCCUGUUCAACCUUGUAAGGAUGAUUCCUAAAAAAAAAAAAAGCCCUGCAGCACUUGGCUGUUUUUUUGGGGUGUGGCUCGUCUUCGUGCCCUUGUUGCCUGGUGCCUGGAUGCCUGGCGCCCGCCCUGCUGUGAUGCCCUGUGAGUGCUGAUCCUGGGCAGCUAUGCAGUUGCUGGGUGAUCCUGGUCGGUUCCGCCUGGUGUCUCAGCGCAGCCAAGACACCAGGGGCCAACGCCAGCCAUACAGCACACCCACACACGGCGCGGCCGCAGCAGCACAUGCCGUGCCGUGUGGGGGGCCUUUUUUUUUUGAGGAAUCAUCCUUACAUCGCCGCCCACUGCCAGGCUUGGCAGCGGACAGCACCCCUGCAGGUGGGGGCAACGCUGCCAGCCCGUUCUUCAGCCCCGGGCUGCAGCUCCACCUUGCCCUGUCCACGCAUAGCCUGGCGCACGGAGUGCAGGACCUGACGACGCAGCCUCAGGGCCCCAGCCUGCCUACCUACCCAGUCCUUAUGGUGGGUGCCACCACGGGGCUCCCAGAGGGCGAGCAGCUGUCCUCAGCCGGCGUCCGGGAAGUGACCAGUGCUGCCCUGUCAGUGCUGGACACCAUGUGCCGGCAGGGCAACCAGCCGCAGCUCUUGCAGGGCCACUCUCUGCACAGCACAGGCCACCCCUCCCGCACGUUUGCGGGGCUGGCCUUCAGCCGGCGCGCGACCAGCGCCAGCAAAGCAGCCUUCACAGCGGAGCUCAUGCGCAAGUCGCCGCUGGCGGUACCACUCCAGCGCGGUCAGGCUGUCCUCACGGUUCACGUGCCAGUGGACACCCGGCCCAUCAUUCCGGGCACCUACACCGUCACGGUCAAGAUGGUAGGGGGCCCUGUGUGGGGGGCUUUCCGUGGUCGCACCGAUUUGGUGCUGCAGGCGGGUGGCUAUCCCACCACCUCGGACCCCUCUAACCUGACAUGUGCUUAUGUGGUCUCAGNNNNNNNNNNNNNNNNNNNNNNNNNNNNNNNNNNNNNNNNNNNNNNNNNNNNNNNNNNNNNNNNNNNNNNNNNNNNNNNNNNNNNNNNNNNNNNNNNNNNNNNNNNNNNNNNNNNNNNNNNNNNNNNNNNNNNNNNNNNNNNNNNNNNNNNNNNNNNNNNNNNNNNNNNNNNNNNNNNNNNNNNNNNNNNNNNNNNNNNNNNNNNNNNNNNNNNNNNNNNNNNNNNNNNNNNNNNNNNNNNNNNNNNNNNNNNAGUGGCUGUAGAUGUCACCAAGCUGUUGAGAACUCCAGUAGGUGUGUGGUGUCACCUGGCUGUUGAGGUUUCCAGUAGGUGUGUGGUGGAACAAAAACUUCUCUUCUCUUCUCUGAUCUCUGGCCCUAUCGAGGUUCUGUGAUAUGAUCCAGGCUGCCUUGGCAGUAGGGUGGUAGUGCGUCUACCACCGCAACCUUGUAAGGAUGACUUUAAAAAAAAAAAAAGCUCAAGGCGGCUAAGCUGGAGCACUUUGUUGCCAUCUGGACGGCGGGUGGCGCGCUUUGUGAAGUGGAGGAGGUUCAGGGUGGGUCACCGAAGUUGAACUUGCGGCUGACGCUUGCAUCACCUGUGCAGGCCCCCUAGGUUUCCUUUUGGGCGGCGUUUCUUUCCAGGCGCUGGCGUGGCGUAUUAUCGUCAUCAGCUUAUCUGGCGCCCAUGUGUUUUAGCUCUGGCUGGCGUCGCAGCGCCUGGGCGGCUGUGGGCCUUCCUGCACAGCGCGUCUUGCAGCGGGCUGGAGCCCGCUUAGUCAGCGCCACAUCUGGCCCGUUUAGUUUUCAGCUUGUGUCUCCUCUGCCGGUUCUCCUGGGGUGUUGCUUAAGCAACCGACUUGUGGGGGUGGGGUGGGUUUGGGCGGGGCGAGUGAUGGUAGCACUGGUGAUUUCCUUUCUGGCGCGCGGUGGUGGUGGUUCUUGCGGUUAGGCUGUGGUGUAGGUUGGUGCUUGGGUUAGGUCUGGCGGUGUUUUUGUGCAACCUCUCCCGGGGGGCGGGGGGGCCAGCCUCCUGCUCUGUCUGCCGGGUCGGGGUGGGGUGGGGUGGGAUGGGUGGGGGUGGUUGUUGGCGGUUUUCGAGGUGUUUGCUUUCUGUUUUUCUUCUCUUUUCUUCUCUUCUUGCCCUGUCAGGGUUCUGGUCUCGGGGACCAGGCUGUCUUCAGGCAGCAGGGGGGCAGCGCGUCUGCCCCUGUUCAACCUUGUAAGGAUGAUUCCUAAAAAAAAAAAGCCCUGCAGCACUUGGCUGUUUUUUUGGGGUGUGGCUCGUCUUCGUGCCCUUGUUGCCUGGUGCCUGGAUGCCUGGCGCCCGCCCUGCUGUGAUGCCCUGUGAGUGCUGAUCCUGGGCAGCUAUGCAGUUGCUGGGUGAUCCUGGUCGGUUCCGCCUGGUGUCUCAGCGCAGCCAAGACACCAGGGGCCAACGCCAGCCAUACAGCACACCCACACACGGCGCGGCCGCAGCAGCACAUGCCGUGCCGUGUGGGGGGCCUUUUUUUUUUUGAGGAAUCAUCCUUACAUCGCCGCCCACUGCCAGGCUUGGCAGCGGACAGCACCCCUGCAGGUGGGGGCAACGCUGCCAGCCCGUUCUUCAGCCCCGGGCUGCAGCUCCACCUUGCCCUGUCCACGCAUAGCCUGGCGCACGGAGUGCAGGACCUGACGACGCAGCCUCAGGGCCCCAGCCUGCCUACCUACCCAGUCCUUAUGGUGGGUGCCACCACGGGGCUCCCAGAGGGCGAGCAGCUGUCCUCAGCCGGCGUCCGGGAAGUGACCAGUGCUGCCCUGUCAGUGCUGGACACCAUGUGCCGGCAGGGCAACCAGCCGCAGCUCUUGCAGGGCCACUCUCUGCACAGCACAGGCCACCCCUCCCGCACGUUUGCGGGGCUGGCCUUCAGCCGGCGCGCGACCAGCGCCAGCAAAGCAGCCUUCACAGCGGAGCUCAUGCGCAAGUCGCCGCUGGCGGUACCACUCCAGCGCGGUCAGGCUGUCCUCACGGUUCACGUGCCAGUGGACACCCGGCCCAUCAUUCCGGGCACCUACACCGUCACGGUCAAGAUGGUAGGGGGCCCUGUGUGGGGGGCUUUCCGUGGUCGCACCGAUUUGGUGCUGCAGGCGGGUGGCUAUCCCACCACCUCGGACCCCUCUAACCUGACAUGUGCUUAUGUGGUCUCAGAGCAGUGCGCCAAAUCGGUGGGCCCCAAGGGGGAGCCCCAGGCCCCCGCAGGCCAGGGCAUCACCAACCACAUCUUUGCCUGUGUGCGGGGCCCCACCUGGGACCCGCAGCUCUCUCACCUGCACUGUGCCAAGUUUGAGAUGCCCGGUGAGGAGCCCAUGCAGGUGGAGGUCCGUGGCGCCCCCCAGGCGGCUGGGACGGCCACGACAGCUGUGGCAGGCAGCCCUGCUCCGGCUGCAGCCGGGGUCGCCGACCUGGGUGGCAACACCUUGGGUGUGGCGCGGCCCGCGGCUGCCAUGGCGACAGCAGCGGACAUUGUUGACCACGUGGGGGACGUGCAGAUGCAGGAGGCGGCGGGUUUGGGUGACGCGGCGGCUGCAGCUGGUGGCGCCAGCGGGCCACACAGCGGGGCCCUGCCCCAGCUGCCAGUUCUGGUGGCGGGGGGAAGCAACCGUGCUGCUGCAGCUGCCCUGCGGGCCGCGCUGCAGCAGCAGCCCUCUUCACAGCAGCGGGUGACAGCGGGAGGGCUUAGCGGGGUCCAGCCGGCGGCAUGUGUGGGGGGGCCGCUGGCGGCCGGGCCUCGCCCUGCCCUUGCUGGGCCGGCUGGCGUGCAGCAGCAGCACAGUGGCGCUCCCGCGCCACAGCCACCCUUGGAUCAGCGGGCAGCCGCCGGGCAGGAUCAGGAGCAGACCGCUGUGAUGCGGCGGUACUUGGCCGAGCUGGCGGAGCUCAAUCUUCAGCGGCAACAGCGGUUACAGCAGCAGCAGCAGCAGCAGCAGCAGGAGCUGCAGCGCCAGGGGCAGUCACCCAGGCCCCGGACCGGCUCCCAGGUUAUGGUCCUGGCCACGCUGGGGGGACAGGACGGGGCGGGCGGUGGCGCUGGCAGGGCGGCGUCACGGCGUGGGCAACGUGUUGACAUAGUUGACCACGUGGGGGACGUUCAGAUGCAGGAGGCGGCGGGUUUGGGUGACGCAGCGGCUGCCGCGGGUGGCGCCAGCGGACCACCCGCUGUGGCCUCGCCCUCGCUGCUAGCUCUGGUGGCGGGGGGAAGCACCCGGGCUGCUGCGGCUUCCCUGAGGGCUGAGCGGCAGCAGCAGCCCUCUUCACAGCAGCGGGUGGCAGCGGGAGGGCUUAGCGGGGGGCAGCUGUCAGCAGGCGUGGGGGGGCCGCCGGCGGCCAGGCGUCGCACUGCCGAUGCUGGGCCGGCUGGCGGGCAGCAGCAGCCCAGUGGGGCUCUCGCGCCGCAGCUGCCCUUUGAUCAGCGGGCAGCCGCCAGGCAGGAUCAGCAGCUGACAGCUGCGAUGCAGCGGUACUUGGCCCACAAGGCGGACCUCCAUCUCCAGCAGCAACGGCGGGUACAGCAACAGCAGCAGCAGGAGCAGCAGUGCCAGGUGCAGCCGCCCAGGCCCCGGACCGGCUCCCGGUUUGAGGUCCUGGCCACGCUGGGGGGACAGGACGGGGCGGGCGAUGGCGCUGCCACGGCGGCGCCCGGGCGUGGGCGACGGGCGCAACCAGCCGCGCACGCACCGCCGCCGCCGCCGCAGCAACCGCCCAGCUCCAAAGGGCGCGGUGGCCCCGCUCAGCUCCCGCAGCAGAGGGCAGGGCGCUUGGGCGGCGGGCUGCCUCCCCCGCAGGACGGUGCUAGCUCGCCGCCGCGCGUGCCCACUGGGCGGCCGGCCGGGGGACAGCAGGCUGGUGGGGGCAGCGGGUCGGGGCGCCAGGGUGGAGGAGCGGGACAGGCAGUGCCCCAGCCGUCGCCCCAGGCGCGGCCGCCACUGCAGACGUCACAACCGGCGGGUGGUGGUAAGGGCAGGGGCAGGGGCCUGGGCGCGCCGGCUGGGGUUUCGGCCAACACGCCUGGGCACGCAGGUGGGGGUGCGGGCAGUGAGGCGGAGUACGGGGCCGUUUGCCUGAAUCGUGACACGUGUGUUGCCAUCGGCUCUGACCUCGUGACGCACCAGAACCGCUGCGCAGAUGUGCAGGGGUAUGAGUGGGCGCAGUUGGGCCACGACACGCUUGGUGGCCGCCUUUUUUGAGGAAUCAUCCUUACAAGGUUGAACAGGGGCAGACGCGCUGCCCCCCUGCUGCCUGAAGACAGCCUGGUCCCCGAGACCAGAACCCUGACAGGGCAAGAAGAGAAGAAAAGAGAAGAAAAACAGAAAGCAAACACCUCGAAAACCGCCAACAACCACCCCCACCCAUCCCACCCCACCCCACCCCGACCCGGCAGACAGAGCAGGAGGCUGGCCCCCCCGCCCCCCGGGAGAGGUUGCACAAAAACACCGCCAGACCUAACCCAAGCACCAACCUACACCACAGCCUAACCGCAAGAACCACCACCACCGCGCGCCAGAAAGGAAAUCACCAGUGCUACCAUCACUCGCCCCGCCCAAACCCACCCCACCCCCACAAGUCGGUUGCUUAAGCAACACCCCAGGAGAACCGGCAGAGGAGACACAAGCUGAAAACUAAACGGGCCAGAUGUGGCGCUGACUAAGCGGGCUCCAGCCCGCUGCAAGACGCGCUGUGCAGGAAGGCCCACAGCCGCCCAGGCGCUGCGACGCCAGCCAGAGCUAAAACACAUGGGCGCCAGAUAAGCUGAUGACGAUAAUACGCCACGCCAGCGCCUGGAAAGAAACGCCGCCCAAAAGGAAACCUAGGGGGCCUGCACAGGUGAUGCAAGCGUCAGCCGCAAGUUCAACUUCGGUGACCCACCCUGAACCUCCUCCACUUCACAAAGCGCGCCACCCGCCGUCCAGAUGGCAACAAAGUGCUCCAGCUUAGCCGCCUUGAGCUUUUUUUUUUUUUAAAGUCAUCCUUACAAGGUUGCGGUGGUAGACGCACUACCACCCUACUGCCAAGGCAGCCUGGAUCAUAUCACAGAACCUCGAUAGGGCCAGAGAUCAGAGAAGAGAAGAGAAGUUUUUGUUCCACCACACACCUACUGGAAACCUCAACAGCCAGGUGACACCACACACCUACUGGAGUUCUCAACAGCUUGGUGACAUCUACAGCCACUGCCAUGACCACACAGAUCAUCUAGAGCUCUCCAGUUGACAGGCCCCGAGCUCCACUUGAAUCUUGGAUCUUGAACUUGAAAGCUCUCCAGUUGCAGGCCCAGAGCUCCAGCCUUGUACCCCAGAGACUCCCUGCACCACAGGGGGGGUCUACACACCACCAAGGUGUGGAUGGGUUUUGGUAAACCAGGGCCCUUCCUGGUGGGGUGACCGGGAUUUGAACCCAGGAUCUCUCGAAGCCUUAACGAAAUGGGCUUGAGUGUCUUAACCAUUUAGACGACCCCCCCA